AAAGACUAGUUUGAAGCUGCCCAUUAGUCUCUUCUCACAAAACUGUUCAUGACAAUUCAAUGUGACAUAUCAACAGAGUCCAGGUCCAAGCAAUCAAUGUGUUUGUUUAGCAACCAAUACAUUGCAUCACCGGCCAAGAUCUUCUAUACACUACAAAAAGGUGCUACUACCAGGAAAAGAACAGUGCACCGAGACAAACCACAUAGUAGAUACUAAUCAUCCACAUACAUAUUAAUCACCAGCCAGGUCCAAUGGAAGUAAUCUGUGUCAGAUUCCAAGUAUUCUCAGCACCCUUCAAAGGAAGUAAGACAGGGAUAACUGUAUCUUUACUUGUGAUCUCAUCAUCCACAUACAUACUAAUCAGUUUGAGUUUCAAAAAAAGUAAAAUUUGUCAAACCUAUCAGAUUCAUAUAUCAAACAAGAAAGAACUGCCAUGGUCGCCAAGAAUUAGAUCUAUAAAACAGAAAGAAAAAAUAACAUAAAGGACACGUUUCCAGGAUAUAAGCUGGCACAAAGAACGCCACCAAUCAGGACAUACCACACGUAAGAGAAUAGCUGUAGCGUCCGAGACUAAUUACUGCGAGGAACACAAGUCAUCCUCAGGAAUUGGUAACGAACGCGCAUCAAACCAAGAAACAAACAGUAAGAAACAUACAGACUACUCCACAGAUAAAUCAUCAAUUUGGGGGAGCUCAGACAGCCAAGGGGUCGUCCGCAGAUGCCACUGAAGAGGAGGCAUCAGAAACUCUAGUCCACAAAUUUGUCAUCACCACUACAACAUCAUGGACCAUCAAAACUAAAAAUAAGAAACAAACCAAAUCGAGAUUCAUCAAGAAUCAAAAGAGCGNNNNNNNNNNNNNNNNNNNNNNNNNNNNNNNNNNNNNNNNNNNNNNNNNNNNNNNNNNNNNNNNNNNNNNNNNNNNNNNNNNNNNNNNNNNNNNNNNNNNNNNNNNNNNNNNNNNNNNNNNNNNNNNNNNNNNNNNNNNNNNNNNNNNNNNNNNNNNNNNNNNNNNNNNNNNNNNNNNNNNNNNNNNNNNNNNNNNNNNNNNNNNNNNNNNNNNNNNNNNNNNNNNNNNNNNNNNNNNNNNNNNNNNNNNNNNNNNNNNNNNNNNNNNNNNNNNNNNNNNNNNNNNNNNNNNNNNNNNNNNNNNNNNNNNNNNNNNNNNNNNNNNNNNNNNNNNNNNNNNNNNNNNNNNNNNNNNNNNNNNNNNNNNNNNNNNNNNNNNNNNNNNNNNNNNNNNNNNNNNNNNNNNNNNNNNNNNNNNNNUUGCUGUUUGGAAAAGAAAAAAAUGACAUCACAUUGCUGUUUGGAAUUUGUAGGCGGCAUUGGUGGGGAUUUAUAUAAAAAAAUUGAAGGUGGGGAUUUUUCUAGGGUUUUCCUCUUCUCUUUGCGGGUGCAGAUGGGGCAGGCCGACGCAUCCACCUGCGUGAGAGGCAGACAAGGCCACAAGUAGACGCACUUUAUUUCCUAUUUGCCACCUUUAGCGGCGCAUCCGUAGGGAGCUAUAUCUCGCUUAUAGUGAGAUUUUUUAGCAAAGGUAGCAGGCCUUAUUGAACAUCAAGAAUGUUACAGGUAUUAUGAGCGUAUCAUGCAGAUUGCCUAACCAAAUAUGCCUUCCCUGAUACCCAAAAAGAUGAGGAGAGUUCUGUUAAAAGCUAUGCAAUGAUUAACAGAGUUUCUGCUGCAACAUCUACGCCAGCGCCAAUGCUCUGAAUCUGAAAGUUCUGUUUAAUGAUCGCUUCAUCCACCAAAUGAAUGUAGGAGUAGGCAACAAAUUCAGAAGCAAAACCAAAACCUCAAGAAAGAAAAACAUAGCCUAGGGGAAGAUAUGCACAUUUCUUACAUUAAUAAAUGUGCCAGAAGACAGGUAACACGACGCAGUUUGGUAAUGCGUCGUGCUGUUUAAUGCUGGCCAGUGUUUCCGAUUAAUCUAUGCUUCCCUCUACAGGAUGACCAAACUGUUAACAGGAACAAACACAUAACAUUUUCCAUUGAAGCAUUGUUUUUGGGCAGGGAUAAGAUAUAACUAAGUAUUUCCUCAGUUCAGGUCUCCAAAUUGCUUCCACACCACGCCAUGAGGUAGCGCAUCAGAAGAACGAAAGUAUUUAGUUUGAUCAUCAUUGGACAGUUUUCAACAUCAGAAAACAUGAGAUAAACAACAAAAACCAUUAUUUGGGGCGGGAAGAAGAUAAAAUGAAGUACUUCCUCAGUUCAGGUCUGAAAAUUGCUUCCGCACUGUACCAUGAGAUAGCACAUCAGAAGAACGAAAGUAAUUGGUUUCAUCAUCAGACAGUUUUCAACAUCAGAAAACACAAGAUAGACAACAAAAAACCAUUGAUUUGGGGCAGGAAGAAUUUAAAUUUAAGUAUUUCCCCAAUUCAGGUCUCCAAAUUGCUUCCGCACCGCGUCAUGAGAUAGCGCAUCAGAAGAGCGAAAGUAUUUAGUUUGAUCAUCAUCAGACAGUUUUCAACAUCAGAAAAAAUCAGAUAAACAACAAAAACCAUUGUUUUGGGCCGGGAAGAAGAUAGAAUUAAGUGUUUCCUCAGUUCAUAUCUCCAAAUUGCUUCCACACUGUGCCAUGACAAUAAUAAGAAGUAACUUUCUGAGGGCACCCUCAGAACAUUUGCAUAAUUGUAUCACAGUAUUUUUCUUAGGAUAUUUGUCCAGCCAUCAGGAGGCAAAAACAGGAACAAAAUGGCAACUAGAAAACAAAUAAAUAACAAUAUGAGGUAUGUCAUUGCUUCUGAUCGCUCUAGGUGAUAAUAUAUAUCUCAUCAACACAUGAAUCAGACAACUAUAUUUUACGAACACAGGUGAGCACCACUCACCAGGAUCCAAGAACAACAAUCUGCGGUCCAGAAACAGACUAGGAAAGAAGAAUCAAACUGCAGUAUCCUCAGUUCAGGUCACCAACUCUUCCAUAUUCAAGAUUUUCGGAACAAGGAACGUACCAUUGUGAUUGAUGGUUGAGCUGUCAGACAAUGCUUUCUAGGCAAACGCACUCAAUCAAGCAGAAGUGAAGAAAGAGGAUAAAGGAAUAAUAGAAGAUCAAAUCAGUAUCCCUCAGGUAAUAUGCUUAUGUUUUUCAUCAACAGAGAAAACUCAGGUCUCAAAGAUGUGCCAUCACUGGACUUACAGAACUGAACCGAAUAGAAAAGGAUAAAUUAAAAUCAGGCAAUUUUGGAGAAUGUUAUUCGCUGGGGAAGCAACUAUCCCCAAAAGUCUAAAACCCAAAAUGGGGCGUGGCCAAGUGGUAAGGCAGCUGGUUUUGGUCCCGUUACUCGGAGGUUGGAAUCCUUCCAUCCCAGAUUGUUUCUGAUGAAACAAACAGUGAAAUCAUACUUGUAGCUAAGAGAACAAUGCUUUCAUCUGUUAAAACCUCAGAAAACUGCAUAAAUUUUCGCCACUUAAAAAUCUGACAGUAAUUCCAACAUGUAGCUAAUCAUCAUGGGCAUAACCCUGUACUUAUCCAGUUGGGCUUCUCUUGGCUGAAGGCUGAAAUCUUCACUUAACUAGGAGUACCGAGGGCAUUGGAGAACUGAAGGCAACUAGACUGAUCCGAAAGACUAGGUCAAAGCUGCUCAUCAGUCUCCUCUCACAAAACUGUUCGUGACAAUUCAAUGUGUUUGUUCAGCAAAAAAUGCAUUGCAUCACCGGCCAAAAUCUUCUACACAGGUACUACUAGAAAAAUAACAGUGCACAGAGAUUCAAAGUAUUCUCAGCAUAUGUACAUACUAGGAGUAAUCUGUGUCAGAUUCAAAGUAUUCUCAGCACCCUUUCGAGGAAGUAAGACAGGGAUAACUGCAUUUUUUACUUGUGAUUGAUGGCAGAUUGUAUGACGAGUCAGAAGUAGCUGGUUGAAGAUCUCAUGUUUAUUACAAAUCAAUGGGAAUCCGAAUGAUUUUCUUCUUCAUACUCGCAAUCCAAGCCAAAUCAUGCUGCACAAGAUGAUGGAAGUAAUCGUGUCAGAUUAAAAGUACCUAAAAUCUUAAAAGUGCACGCGCACUGUUUCGCGACACCGAGCGGCGGCGCUACGCGACAGCGGACAGCGACCUCACACGCUCAGUCCAUCUCUCCACUAAAAGAAAAAAGGAAAAUCUUCUCCACUCCCGAGCAGCACGACCUUCUUCCUCCACUAACCACCGCCGCUGUGCACCCCGCCUCCUCCGGUCCUCCCUCGCGCCGCCUCCUGACAACGCCAACUCGCCGUCGCGAUUGCCCAUCGCCACCCCAGCAGGCCUCGCAUCUUUCCCUCCAGGGCGCCACCAUGAGCCGCCGCAGGAAGCAAUCCCCAACCUCCGGCGCCGCCGCGACUCAUCUUCUGCGAUGGGCACACGCCGCUCCGCGGCUGCGCACAGCUGUGAAUCCUCGCACUUAGCCGUGAGGGCUCCAUCGCCUACUCAAGUGCCCAUCACAUGCAGGUAGUAUUCCCCUUCNNNNNNNNNNNNNNNNNNNNNNNNNNNNNNNNNNNNNNNNNNNNNNNNNNNNNNNNNNNNNNNNNNNNNNNNNNNNNNNNNNNNNNNNNNNNNNNNNNNNNNNNNNNNNNNNNNNNNNNNNNNNNNNNNNNNNNNNNNNNNNNNNNNNNNNNNNNNNNNNNNNNNNNNNNNNNNNNNNNNNNNNNNNNNNNNNNNNNNNNNNNNNNNNNNNNNNNNNNNNNNNNNNNNNNNNNNNNNNNNNNNNNNNNNNNNNNNNNNNNNNNNNNNNNNNNNNNNNNNNNNNNNNNNNNNNNNNNNNNGAGGAUUCAGCCGUGAACUUGUUUGGAUUUAUAGGAAUGAAUAUUGUUGGAUCUAAAUCUGGUUAAUACUCUGUCAUUUUCCUACUUCAUAAAUUUACUUUGGAAAGUUCAUAUAUUUAGUAGUCUGGACACGGGAAAUUUAAUUGCAAUGUUGAUUCAACUUGGGUUUUCUAUGGCAGCUGGAGUAGAAAAUACAAAUUUGUAGUGUAACAACUAUAGUCUAAUCUGCCGGAUAUUGAUGGGAGCAAUCAGAUUUUUGAUGUCUGUGCAGUUCAUCUACAUGUUAUUGACAAUUUUUAUUCAGACAUCUAAUUCACCUCCACAUAUGCUUGUCUAGUCUGCUACCUUACCCAAAUAGUACUAGUACUGAAAUAUUAACAACAUUUUCAUUCUCACAUAUUGUUAACUCAACCUCUUCUAGGUAUUUUUUCAGGAAAUGCAGUCAAAUUCAUGUACAGAUGCAUCACUUUUGUGAUCCUACUAGUCAAUCUCCGGUAUGAUGCUUGGAACGUUGAUGAUUGGAGUGUUGAUCUAUACAGGAGUUUCGGCAUCUUUCUCAAGGAGCUACGUCGACUAGGAUGAGUGGUGGGUUUGUACGGCGGUUAGGAUUAUAGUGGUGGGUUUGAGUUGGAUUUUCACGGUGAGCUGUUCAGAUUUUGUCACUACUGGUAUGGUUCAUGAUCCUUAUUUGAUCCAUCUAUUCUUGCCUAGACUGCAAUUGUCUCGUUAAACAUGAUACUCUCUGUAGAGCUUCAUUACAUUAUUGACCUCUUUUUCUCGUAAAUGCAUCCGUGUGGUUUCUUUGUUUUCUCAUAAGUCGCAUGCAUAUAAGUAACCAGUUGGCUAGUUUGUUGUAAUAGUUGCACAUGAACGCAAAUGUAGUUGGAUGACACAUAUACAUGUCUCAGUUGGCUAGCCAACUUAUGAAGUUGCACAGUGAAGGCUAACCAGUUGCACAGUCGAUGGUAUUCUUCUGCAGCAGCCGCUGAGGUAACAUAAAAUUCCACCAGGGAUAUUUUUUACUCCACAUAUAGGCAACCAAGUGUAUUAAUUUUCAUACAUAGUUGCAGAAGGACUAAUUAAGCAUUGGCAUGCUGAACUUUCUCAGUUGCUCAACGUUGCAUCUUCAAGUUUUUUAGAAUUGUCCCAAGAGUAUGUAAUGACUUGGCAUCCUCAGACUUUCUAGUUGCAGAAUAGUAUCUAAUUAGUUGGCAACCUCAGUAAUUCUAGUUGCACAACAAUAUACAACUAGUUGACAUCCUCAGCUUCUCUAGUUGCACAAGAACUCAGAUUAGUCCCAUCUAAAAAAAUUGAGGAUUGCCCAACAGUAUCUAACGACUUGGCACCCUCAGGUUUUCUAGUUGCAGAAGAGUAUUUAUUUAGUUGGCACCCUCAGCAAUUCUAGUUGGACAACAGUAUCCAAGUAGUUGACAUCCUCAGCCUCUCUAGUUGCACAAGAAUUCAGAUUAAUCCCAUCUUAAAUUUUUUGAGGGAUUGCCCAACAGUAUCUAGUGACUUGGCACCCUCAAGUUUUCUAGUUGCAGAAGAGUAUCUAUUUAGUUGGCACCCUCUACGAUUCUAGUUGGACAACAUUAUCCAAGUAGUUGACAUCUUCAGCCUCUCUAGUUGCACAAGAAUUCAGAUUAAUCCCAUCUUAAUGUUAGGAUUAAUCUUGAUUAUGUAUCUGCGUUGUAUUUUCGUUUAGCAUGUAGUCUAGUGUAGGUUGAUGUUUGUCCCGUGAAGCUUCAGCUCAGCAUGCAGAGGAGGCGAGAUGUUGGGCUGCCGUGCGAUACGGCGAGCACGGCGAGAUGCCGAUGGCAGCGUGAGGCUGCAGUGCUACGCGAGGCAGCAUGGCCGUGUGAUGCGGCAAGUGCGUGAGAGGCUGGAGCGUGACGGGCUGCAUGAAGAGGUUGAACCGGGCGAUCCGGCAAGUCAUUAUCAGUUGUAUACAUGCUAGUUUGGUUCGGUCUAUGGCCGUUCAUGAGGCUGCCCAAGUACUGGCCGUGCAUGUAGUUCUGCAUGUUGAGGGGGUUAGAUGCAUAGUCGUUAGGAUCCUGCAGAGAUGCCUGGAGUAGGAUAAGGCCAGUUAGUGGGUGUGGUAGUGCAUGCAUGGAUUAGUUUGUUAAUGGCCGAGCAUGGCGGCCUGUUAGUUCGUGCGUGACUUAGUGGCCCGGCCAGGUUGUGCGUGAUGGCCAACAGUCUAUGUAUAUAUAUGUCACACUGAGCAAUGAGAAAAUAGAGGCCGUGAGGGCUCAAGAGAAAAGAUGUAGCACUUGUGGUUGCCAAGAAAGAGUACCUCUCGGCAAAGUUAGUUGUUUUUCUUCCUUGUUAUACAUGCGUGUGUGUGCAGUUUCACCAUGUGUGUGUGUGUUCUUGAGAGAAACCAUAGAAGAGAAGAAGAGAGGAACCCAAAUAGAGUUGUGGGAGGCAGCUCGAGGUAGAAGAAAAGCAGCGCUGCCAGAGGCGGCGCCAACACUUGAAAAAUUUGAGGAUUGCCCAAUAGUAUCUAAUGAUUGGCACCCUCAGGCUUUCUAGUUGCAGAAGAGUAUCUAUUUAGUUGGCACCCUCUGCAAUUCUAGUUGGACAACAUUAUCCAAGUAGUUGACAUCCUCAGCCUCUCUAAUUGCACAAAAAUAUCUCAUUAGUUGACAUCAUCAGCAUUUCUAGUCGCACAAGAAUAUCUCAUUAGUUAUCAUCACAAGUAUUUCUAGUUGCAGAACAAACAGGAUAUCAAGUUACCAUCCUCAACUUUUUAAUCUAGUUUUCCAGAGAACAAAUAUUUGUAUGUAAUGAUAACUAAUCACCUCUACCUUUUUUUUGCAAACCCCAAGAUAUUGUUCAAGGAAAUGAGAGUAAUGAAGCAAAUAAUGUUGAACGACGGUCACAAGCUGGCUACCUGAUGGAGACUGCCUGGUACGCCUCUCUCCUCCCUCUUCUUUACCACUUCCGUUCUUGCGUUCAUUGCUUUGCCAUUAUAGCUCUGUUUUGGAUCCAGGCUAGGACCCUUUCUUUCGUUGAAAAGAAGGAGCCCUGUGGAGAAGGAAGUGUGGGCGAGGGGUGCAUGGAGGCUUCGGGAGUUAGUGGGCUAUCAUGUGAUACCGAUUGGCCUUUGUUUUCUGAUUCUUCAUGGAUUUUAGGGGUCGGAACAAAGUUUCCUUUAUGGAAACAGUGGGGACAAAAAGUUACCUUUUCCGGCCGCUCGCGAGCGCUACCAGGCCAACGGCCGCUAGCCAGACGCAUCCUUAAAAGUAUUCUCAGCACCCUUCCGAGGAAGUAAGACAGGAAUAACUGUAUUUUUACUUGUGAUCUCAUCAUCCACAUCCAUAUUUAUCAGUUCGAAAAAACAAUAAAAAUCAAAUGCUCGUACAAUCUAUCACGGCCGGCACAUUUAGAUCCAGAAAGACAAAGAAAAAAAAAUAGAGGACGGCAUGUGAAUGUAUGUGGCGUUUCCAGGAUAAGCUGGCACAGAGGACGCCACCAAUCAGGAUAUACCACACAUUAGAGAAUCGCAUGUAGCGUCCGAGACUAAUUACCACGAGGAACAAAAAUCAUCCUCAGGAAUUGGUAAUGAAUGCGCACCAAAAAAUGUUGUUUUGGGAGGGAAGAUAUAAUGAAGCAUUUCCUCAGUUCAGGUCUCCAAAUUGAUUCCGCACCACACCACAAAAUAGCACAUCAGAAGAACGGAAGUAUUUAAAUUGAUCAUCAUCGGACAGUUUUCAACGUCAGAAAACAUGAGAUAAACAACAAAAUCAAUUGUUUCAGGGCGGGAACAAGAACAAAAAUAUUUAGUUCGAUCAUCUUCAGACGGUUUUCAACAUCAUAUACAGUCAUCAGGAGCCCAAAACAAGGACAAAAUAACAAAAAAUAAACACAAACGAACAAUAUCAGGUAUAUCGUUGCUUCCCUCUAGGUGAUAAUAUCUCAUCAACACAUGAAUCAGAUCACUUUAUUUUACCAGCACAGGUGAUCACAAGGAUGCAUGAACAACAAUCUGCAAUCCACAAACAGACUAGGAAAGAAAAAUUGAACUGCGGUAUCCUCAGCUCUUCCAUACUCAAGAUUUCCAGUAGUUAAGUAGAAUGGAGAUUGAUUGUUGAACGGUAAGAAGCAAAUGCACCUCCAUCAAGCAAAAGAAUAGUCAAUCAAGAGUGAAGAAAGAGGAUCAAGGAAUAACAGAAGGUCGAAUCAGUAGACCUCAGGGAUUAUGCUUAUGAUUUUCAUCAAGGAAGAAAAGUCAGGUCUCAAAGAUGUGGCAUCACUGGACUCGGGAACUUAACUGAAUAAAAAAGGGCCAACUAAAAGUCAUAAACAUAUAAUGAUAAGCAGGAGCAAUUUUGGAGAAUGUUAUUCGCUGCCCCUCACAAUUAAAAGUAGGGGAAGCGACUCAUCCCCAUAAAGUCUGCCCCUGGAAAAAAUCAAGCCCCACAGAUACAUAAAACAAAAGGAUCAACUAAUAAAGGGGGUCUUCAACAUAAUUUGUCCUCAGAAUUGCAGAAUGACAGCAUGGACGCAUAGCAACCAAUCAGUCCCGAAAGAUGGUAUGAUUUAACAGGUUUUUCAUCACCGGAACCAUAAACAAGGUCUAUAUAAGUCAAACCUAAAUUAUUUUAGGGUUGGAAGUCAGAAUUGCAUAUUUGACAACAUGGCAAACAAGAGCGCACCAAUCAGACUCAACAUCGUGACAAUAAUAAUAAUGACGGAAAUGUUGUAUUCAUAAACAAAAAUGCAAAAAUCUAAGCCUUUCAUUAGUUAAGCAGAUAAGCAACGACACCUAAUUAGGCCAACCUAUGUUAACAGUUCAGUGAACGAAUUACACCAACAAACCUGGCAAUAGACCGGGCACACCCAAAAAAAAAACAGGAUUCAAUUAGCCAACAAACCUGUAAUGCACAUAAAUGCAUAAGAAUAGACGAGCUCUUGCCAACCAUUGAAAUGACUAAAGCCCAUGGCAAAACAAACUCUCAAAGAGUUCAAGAAGGAAUUCAAGAUACAAUAUAUUAAAGGUUCCAGAACAAAGACAUUAUCUAGGGCAAAACAUCAUCCAAGGUAAUCGUCUAAACAAGAACACUCCUUAAGAUUCUGGAAAUGGACCAACACAGUAGUAGAAAAGCUAUGGGGGAUCGUUGUGAAGCAGCUUAUCGCUUCUUGGAGACACCAACAGUCUUUCCUCUCCUGCCGGUAGUCUUGGUGUGCUGACCACGGACACGCACGCCCCAGUAGUGACGCAGACCACGAUGGUUCCUGGAAAAGAGGAGGGUUUCAAGCAUAAGUGAUUACUCACGCAUCUAUGCACUAGGACAAGGCUACUGCAACAGUUUAGUCUAAAGGAAUCAGGCAUCACCAUACAUCUCUUGGAAACAAAGCAUUGCUAUACAGAACUACUGGGUCACAUACAAGGUACACCAGAAGGAUACAGAUGAAUAUGUACAAGUAAUAGACAGGCUAGUCCUAACAGAUUGACCAAACUGAACUUUUGUAACCAAAACUGCUACUUGCCUUUAUAACUUGAGAGCAGGGCUUCUCGUUAAUAAGAGUAAAUACAGACAUAUGACAUUGUAUUUUUGCAGAAAAGAAACAUUAAUUCCGAUCUACACAAGCUAACGCUGGACUAGGUUAGGCCUAUUUCACAGGAUAAACCACUACAGAAUGAAGCAGAUGAAGUCAGCACAUGCUACCAGAAAAACACUAUGCACAUCAAGAACAACAGAAUAAACGCGUUUCAGGCAUUCUAAUGUCCGAAGAUCUGCUUAGAGAAACCCACUAUGCCAAUCCCAAGACUAGACUGUAAAGUACUGGAUGAGAUAUCAACUACUGCAGCUACUAAAGCAUGUGCAAGAUGUUAGUUAACAGCAUCAUAACCAGUUGAACCUAGCGCAUAAUCAUCGAUCAACCAGUAAACAGUAUGAAGCCAAAACAAACAAGAGGGGGAGGAGUUUAUACCUGAUCUUCUUGAGCCUCUCAAGGUCAUCCCUGAGCUUCAUGUCCACGGCGUUGGACACGACCUGGGAGAACCUGCCGUCCUUGUAGUCCUUCUUCCUGUUGAGGAACCAGUCCGGCACCUUGAACUGGCGCGGGUUGUGCACCACCGCCAUCAGGCGGUCCAUCUCCUCCGAGGAAAGCUCUCCGGCCCUGCACGCCCACCACAGAGCACAGCGCACGGCUCAGCACCACACCGACCGCGACGAGAUCUGGCGAGAAAGGGGGACGGACGGUGUUCCUCACCUCUUGUUCAUGUCGAUGUCGGCCUUCUUGCAGACGAUGUUGGAGAAGCGGCGGCCCACACCCUUGAUGGAGGUCAGCGCGAACAUGAUCUUCUGCUUACCGUCGACGUUGGUGUUGAGCACACGCAGGAUGUGCUGGAACUCCUCACCCGCGAUCAGCGACUGCGGCCAGAGAAGGAUCACGAACGUCAGCAUACGAGGCGGGAUCCGCGAGAGGAGAAGGAGGAGGGCGGAGAUGGGAGGGGGGAGACGCUUACCAUGGCUGCAGUCGGCGGCGGCGGCGGCGGCGGCGCUCGGGGGCAGGAGGGGAGGAGGAGGGCGUUCGCGUCUAAGGUUUUGGAGGAGGGGUCGUGGGGAUGAAUUAUAUACCCGGGGUGAAACCCUAGUGCUUCAUCGGACGGCUGUGAUCUGCGCGGGCUCUGUAAGUGGGCGGCUUUGUUGGGCUCUUUUCUCAACGGGCCUUUAUCUGGAGUUCCUUGGGCUUUGGUGGCCUCUUGCACCCGCCGCUGUAAUCCUGGAGGUCCCAGUCACUCUGAACCUUCUGGGGAGAGCAACUAGUUAACGAGCGUUUCUUCGGGAGUCUCGCAACGAUCAGUGCCACUUGGCGCGCUCUCAGCCAUUCGUCACGUGUCGUGUUCUGGACGCUCCCUCCGGAUUUAUUUUUUUAUUUUUUGCACGCGUUUUCGGCUUUUUAAACGGUUUUUUCUUCUUUUUUUUCGAGGUUUUGGUUUUCCGCCGGUCUUCCUUAGCUUUUUGACAAAAAAAAAAUUGUGCGAAAAAACGCGUUUUUUUUCUUUCGCGAAAAGUCACGGUUUUUCUCCCGCGAGAGGCACGGUUGUGCUUUAGCGAGAGUCAUGGCCGUGCCUUUUUUUUCGCGAGAGUCACGGUUUUACUUUCGCAAGAGGCACGGUUGUGCUUUCGCGAGAGUCACGGCCGUGCCUCUCGAAAAGGGAAAAACAAAACGCGUUUUCUGUUUUUUUUCUUUCGCGAGAGUCACGGUUUUGCUUCCGCGAGAGGCACGGUUGUGCUUUCACGAGAGUCACGGAAAAAAAUACGCGUUUUCUGUUUUCUUUCUUUCGCAAGAGUCGUGGUUUUGCUUUCGCCAGAGGCACGGUUGUGCUUUCGCGAGAGUCACAGGCGUGCCUCUUUCGGAAAGGAAAAAAAAAACGCGUUUUCUGUUUUUUUUCCUUCCACGAGAGUCACGGUUUUGCUUCCACGAGAGGUACGGUUGUAAUUUCGCGAGAGGCACGGGCGUGCCUCUUUCGGAAAGGGAAAAAACCGUGCUCCCGGUUUGGUUUUUUCGUCCGGGUUUUUCGUGAAAAAAAAGUUCGUCAAAAUCUAUCAACAUGGGAUCUAGUUUUGAAGAUCUCGACGCGAGGAAUUCAAUGGUGAAAACGGUUUGAGAUUUGGACGCACGGUUUAAGAGAUAAAACGUGUUGAAUAAACGGAUCUACGAAAAAGGGAAAACUCCCAGGUUGCGACAAGUGGCGCGCUGCAUGUGCGCCCACUUGUCGUGACCUGGGAAGGUGGAGUGUUCUUUGCAACGAGUACUUCUUAGUUAGUGAUUUCGACCUUCUGACUGAACCCCUUGACACAGCUGCAGUGCGUCAGAUUCUCAAAAAAAAGCUGCAGUGCGUCAGGGCAUUGAGGUUGCAGCUGUCGUAUGCCCCACAAAGCGCAUAAAACCUCGCACUGGAUCGGUGGCUGGGCCCAGACUAACAUCCACUGCUGCGAGGAAUCCAUCCAUGACAGAUGCUUGAUCUGGAGUAAAUAGCAUAAAACUACUAGUUUACAGGCUAUGGUUCCAAAAAACUACCACUUUUUAAUUUUUCUCAGAAAGCUACCGAACGCGCGGUCCGCUGUUUCAAAAAACCCAAACCUGCGGUGACUAGCGUUUUAACCGUUUUCCUGACGGACUGGGCCCAUCUGUCAGCCCACGUGGCCACGGGCGCUCACGGCGCGGCCGUUAACGGCCGUUAGCCGACCCGGGUCCGGUCGGAACCAAAGUGGGCGGUCGGCCACACACUCUCUCACUCCCCCUCCUCUCCCCCGCGGUGACCUAGGUGGGCGAUGGCGGCGGCGCAGCCAAAUGUCGUCGGCGGCGAGCUAUUGAGGCAAGGCGGCACCGGCCAGGAGGGCGGUGGACACUCAGAGGUGGACAAAUGGCUAGGCAGCUCGAGCUUCCCGGCGCAGCGGUCGCAGCAGCCAUCACCGCCCGCAGCUCAUGUGGAUCCGGCGAGCUCAGAUCCGAAAGUCCGCGCGGCUAGGGCAGUGGCGAAGCGCAUCCACACUGAUCCAGCAGGCGGCCACCAUUGGGCGUCGUCCUUUGGUGGAGUGAGGUAAGCACUGGUCCUUUAGUUAAAUUUCCGUGUGCUUUAGUUCAAAUUAGAACUAGGGUUAGUAUUUGUUUGUUCUUGGCAUGCUACUGUAUUUUAUUGGUUAAGUCAGUGUAGAAGAAAGUGCAUUUGGUUAGUUCAUUUGGUCAGUGCAUAGAUGUUCUUGAUAUCUGAAGAAAGUUCAGUAAUGUUCGGUGACUUAAAAAAUAAUUGUUUGUCAAUUUAAUCCUACAGCUUAGAUGAUGAGAUUUGGGACUUGAGGCUACAUUUUCAAGGAAUAGAUAAUAUGGAGAAAAAGUAUUCAGUUUCCUCAGAUAUCAGUUAUCUGACCAUAUUAGCAUUGGUUGAGUUGGAGGGCUAUGGCAUGGAUGCAUUUAUGACUUAUGUAAAGGAAGAGGGAAAGGGGCUGGAGGGUGUGGAGGCCCUGGAUACUGAGGAGGCAUUAGAGGAAAUGCUUGACUUAUUUGUUGAUAAGAAGGUACUGAACAUCAGUGUCAGAAAAGCUACUGAUCCAAGCCCAGCUGAUGAGGAACAAAUCCCCAUUGAUCAUGUUGGUGAACCUGUUGUUUACAGAGUUUCACAAGAAGGUGUUCUGUACCCUGCCUCUAAUGCUAUCUUGCCAUCUUUAACCCCUGAUGAGCCCUACAUGAACACACAGCAAAGCAGCAAUUUGAACAAGGGGAAAACAGUUGUGGAAGAAGAAGAUGUAGAAGAAGAAGCAGAUGAAGAAGAAGAAGAUGUACCAGAGGAAGAAGAUGAAGUUGAAGAUGACAAAUCAUCUUCAGAUUUUGAGUUCUUUAGGGGUGAUUACAGAGGGGAGAAAAUUUCUUACAAAGCUUGGUGUAGGGGUGAAGAUGAGGCUGGCACUGAUACUGCAGAGCACUAUUGUGCAGCUAACUCAGAACCUUCUGAGUUUUGGGAGGAAGAACCAAUAGUUUCUGAAGAUGAAGAAGUAGUGGAUCCUGCUGCUGUAACUACAAAAGCAUCCAAAAAGCUUAAGCCAGUUAGAAAACCUGGCCCAACUAGCAAGUCUCACAGUGAGCCUGAGCACAACAAGUUUGAAGAUUAUGUCCCUGAAGCUGAUGAGUACUGUUUUCCAGGUGAUUUUGGCAUAAGUGAUGAAGAGGAUGCACCAAGGCUGCCAUCUGGAAGAAAGAGUAGGAAGAAGCAGAAGAAGGAGAGGAGAUGGUAUGAUCCAAAAAGGCCUGAUGCACAUGAGCAGUUUUCAAUGCAUUUGUGCUUUGAAAAUGUAGUUGAGUUCAGAGAAGCACUUAGAAAUUUUCAUGUGAGGACUCUUAGGAAUUUUGAGUAUCACAGAAAUGAACCAACUAGGGUUAUUGCUUGGUGCUCUGAGAGAAAACAUGGUUGUGAGUUUUACAUAGUUGCCUCCAAGAUAGCUCAUGAGGCAACUUUCAGUAUCAAGAAGAUGAACCUGGAUCACACUUGUGGAGCAAGUGGAGAGAACACAAAGGUGACAGUCAGUUGGGUUGCUAAGGUUUGUGAGGAUACAGUCAGAUCCAACCCUGGAGCUGGUGUUGACACAAUUAUGUCAUACACAAAGAAGAAGUUUGGUGUGCAUGUGCCUAAAAGCUUGGCAUAUAGGGCAAGGAAGCAAGCAGUUGAGGUUGUGCAAGGAGAUCACAAACUCCAGUAUCACAGAAUAAGGGACAACCUGCAGUGUGUGCUAGAUACUAACCCUGGCAGUAGGUGCAUAGUAACAACACAUGAGGACCCACUUAACCCAGCUCCUACCCCAAGGUUUCACUAUAUGUUUUACUGCUUGUUUGCAUGCAAGGAGGGUUUUCUGAAUGGAUGCAGGCCAUUUAUAGGUAAGUAUUCAGAAAUUUAUAUGAUUUUUAAACAUUGAUGUACUUAGGCACUCAUGUUAUCAUGUUAGCAGGUCUGGAUGGUUGCUUCAUCAAGCUAAGCACUGGUCAGCAGAUAUUGGCAGCUACAGGGAGGGAUGGCAACAAUAACAUCUUCCCAAUAGCUUUUGGUGUUGUUGAUAAGGAAGAGACAGACAGUUGGACAUGGUUUCUCACACAGUUGAGAACAGUCAUUGGAACUGGCAAUAAGUUUGGCAAAUACACAAUUAUGUCUGACAGGCAGAAGGUAUUUUUCUGAACCUAGUCUUUACAUUUGCCUUUACAUUUGCCAUGAGUAAAAUGUUAUUCAGUAGUAACACUUAAGAUUACACUACAUUGAACAGGGAUUGUUGAAUGCAAUAGAUGAUGUAUUCCCUGACUCUCCACAAAGGUUUUGUCUUAGACAUAUUUAUGCCAAUUUUCAAUCUGCUGGUUUCAGAGGAGAGGAACUUAAGAAACAUUUAGAUCAGGCUGCCUAUUCCUUUACCAAACAUGGACAUGAUUUAGGCAUGGAGAAUUUGAAAAAAGAAAGUUUAGAAGCUUGGCAGUGGUUGUCACAGAUACCAGAGCAUACAUGGGCUAGGUAUAAAAUGGACACUGUGUGCAAAACAGACCUGUUAGUAAACAACCUUAGUGAGGUUUUCAAUAGAAUGAUAUUGGAUGUUAGGAAGAAACCAAUCAGGACUAUGUUAGAGGGCAUAAGAACAAAGCUGAUGAUUAAGUUUCAGAAGAUCAGAGAGAAGACAGAGACAUGCAGAUGGGAAAUCACACCUACUCAUUCAGAGAUUUUAGAAGAGGGGAAGAAAUGGGCUAAAUAUUGUGAAGCAUACAUGGCAGGGCCAGGCAUAUGGCAGGUCACUAGUAGCUCUGAAAACACAUAUUGUGUUAAUUUGAACAAUGAGACCUGUGACUGUAGGAGGUGGGACAUGACAGCUGUCCCCUGUAGUCAUGCCAUUGCUGCAAUGCAGAAAGUGAAGAUACACCCUGAAGACUAUGUUUCUGCUUUCUUCAAGAAACCCAUGUAUUGUGAAACAUAUAAGCACAUAAUAUUCCCUGUGCCAGGUCCUGACCAUUGGCCUCAUACACCUGGUGAUGAUAUUUCUCCCCCUGUUUUUUAGAGAAAAGAAAGGUAAAAAACAAACUGCCAGGAGGAAAGGCCUGUUUGAGGUGCCAGCUAAAAAGGAUACUUCUAGGAUUGGUACAGUGACAUGCAGCAACUGCAAGAAGCAAGGGCACAGGAUCAACAAUUGUGGUGUCCCUUUGAAACCUAAGUUCCAGAUGAGGCUGAACAAGCACCAGGUAUGUCCAUUCAUUCCAUUGUUACAUUCAUUGCAUUGUUACAUUCAUUUCAUUUGUAGGAAAAUAGUUCUAACUAAUAUUGUUGUGUAGGAAAAUAGAGCAAACUACUCUGAGGCUGGUUCUUCAAUGGCUGCAACUGCACAAAGGCCACCAAGGGUACCUGCUGCCUCUGCACCUGCACCAACUCCUCCUCCAAUAACAAGUGUGUCAACACAGACAACUUCUAGGUCAAGGAAAAGGGCAGCUCCAGCUACAACAGCAGUACCACCACCUCUCAAGAAGAGCAGGCCUAACACCUCUUCUUCAACACUAGUACCACCUAACACAACUAUUUCUGCCAAUGGAUCAAGGUCUUCUCCAGCAAAGAACGCAUGGUCAUCAAGGUCUUCUCCAGCAAAGAACACCAAGUCAGCUGCUGCCAAUAGAGCUGGCAAUGGAUCUUUCAUUGCUCCUAGACAAUCUGCUACAAGUGUUGUGCAGGAUGGGUCAAAGAGGGUCAGGAAGCCAUCUGGGAGGCUGAAAGAUUACUUUUAUGCAAGUGGUAACUAGCUGAAGUGGUUGAACUCCUCUGUUAUCCUAGGUUAUGUAUGCAAGUGCACUGUUUGAUUUGGUUUGUCAUAACACUGCCUCACUAAGUACUUGAUACUGCACUGUUUGAUUUGGUUUGUAAUAUGGUACUUUAUGUGGAUUCUGCACUUGUCUGCAACUUCAAUUCAUCUGCAACUGUUAUCUACAUGUGGAUUCAACACUUGAUAAAUUGAUGGUGCUGCUGACCAAGUGCAUUAUAAGAUACUGAGAUAUACAUAACUGACCAAAUGCAUACAUUUAUUCAGAAACAUCCAAAUGUUACAUAGAUAGAAAGAUAGUCUCAUAGAUUACAUCCAAAUCUCACAAAUACUACCAAAACUCUCUCUCAAAUUGACUUACAGAUAGCUAGAAAGAUAGAUAGCAAGAUAGAUAGAUAGGUAUAUAGAUGGAUGAGAUGAGAUUGAACAUAUCAGUCAUAGCGCUCAAAGAAACGGACCCACUUGGCCCUAGUUGCUGGAUGAGGAGCCAUGACUGCCCUCAUCCUUGCCCACCUAAUGAUCUCCAUGAAUGACCUUCCCCUGCCGCCAGUGAAAACCAGCUCUAGUUCUCAUCAUUGCACUUCUCCAGUUCGGAGAGUCGGCGGUUGAACUCCUCUUGCUGCUCAUCCUGGGCCGCCUCUAGUGCCCUCUGCCUGCGCCUCCUCCUCCUCCUCCUCUGUGCUGCUGCUGCUGUCCUAACCUCCACAGCCUCCCCCUCUUCCUCUAUGACAUCUCCCAUGUCAGGAUCCAUCCGUGGUUUUCUUUUGGGUGGCGGCUGGUGGAGUAACUGGGAAAGGGUGGGGGUGGGGAGGGGUUUAUAUUGACAGAUGGAUGGGGUUGGGUUUAGUAGGCCUAGGGUUGCAUUUGGUCAAAGACUAGUGGGCCACUAAGCCCAAUUACACACAGAAAUAAUAUUAGUAGGCUAACAAAUAACAUAUAAAAGAUAUAAGAUCAAGUUGAACACUUAGUAGCAUACAUUCUACAUUUCCACAACUUAGUAGCAUAAGAGAUCCAUUUCCACUACUUAAUAGCAUAGGAGAUCCAUUACAACACUUAAUACCAUAGGUGAUCCAUUACAACUUAACAACAUAGGAAAUAAGGUUCUUGCACUAGGUUAAACUUCACAUUUCCCCAAAAUGUACACCCAUAAUCACUUGCAGUCAUGCCAGGCCACAUCCUUAUAUAAAGGCCUUUUGAUGUACUUACUUCACCAAGAUCAAGCUUCAAGAUUCAAGGAUGGCCUUGAUUUGCUCUAACUUCUCCUUGCUGCCAUACCCUUCUUUCAGCAGCUCAGCAACAACAAGCUCAAGCUUUGCCUUCUCCUUCUUAAGAACAUCUCUGUCAACUUCAACAGCCUUCAUAGCCUUCCUCGUGUUCUUGAUGAUAUCAGCUUGGCUCUGCAAAAUGCACCUCUGCUCUUUUGCAAGUUUGAGCUUUUCCAUCUUCACCUCCAACAUAGCUUUCUCCUCUAGCUCCUUCUUCUUCUUCUCAAGUUCUUCCUCCUCCACUUGUUUCUGGUACACCUUCUUGUCCACCCUACCAUCCUGCCAAUCAAACAUCUUGGAUACAUCAUCAACAAGCUUGGUGUACUCAAUGCAAAGCUUGUCAUUUUCAGUCCUAAGCUUGGCCAACUCCCUUUCAUGUUCACUCUUAAGCCUGGCCAACUCCUUCUCAAACUUUUGCUUGUCCUGUACCCUUCCAAAGUUCUGCUCAUGGAACAUCUCCCAUAGCUUGCACAGACAUCUCUGGAGAACAGUUGGCCAAGGCCCAUCAACCCACUCUACAACACCACAAUUCACACCAUUUUCCUGCAUUUAUAAAUGUGAUAAGUUAUUACAAAUGGACUAGGAGCUUAUUUCAGUUCCAUGAUUAACUUGUAUAGACUUCAUAAUUUCUAACAAUGAAUAACAUAAAUGAGAUAUGAUAAGUUAUUACAUAUGUGACUGUCAUAUCAAACAAAGUGCUGCAUCAUAUCAAACAUUAGUGAACAUACAUAGCAGAAAUGUUUAUUGGCAUCUAACCUGGACUGGGCAGCCAUAGAAACGCCUUCCUGUUAUAGGCCCUUCAAAAGCAACACGCUUAAUAGGCCUCAGUUGGUGCAGAAUGCACUUGGGAUGAGCAAGCUCAAGUUGGCCACAGAAAAGGGACUCCACAGUGGUGUCUGGUUCCUCCUGCAACCAUAAUAACCAACAAACACUGGUUUCAAUCUCCACUCAAUACCAGAAUCAACAAGCACUGUUCUUUAAACCUGAUCACUAAAAAAUCUCCAAAUCAGCAUGAACCCUAACACUGUACACAGAUGAACCCUAGGUUACCUCAAUCCUACAAUCAAACCCCACCCUCACUAAUCAAGAACAGUAUCACACACACAACAACAACACUACACUCAGCAACAUCCAUGGCUGUAGCCUAGGGCUACUAGCACCUAACCCUAACCCUAGGUGGCAAAGAACUUACCAUAAGUCCCAUGUCCAUGUUGACAACCUCGCACUCCUCCUCCGAGCUGGUUUCCUCGUCGUUCCAGGAAGGCAUUGCGGCAAGGAGGUCGACGGCCACUGGCCUCGAAGACGGCGAGCGGCGGCGAGCUCGUACUGGAGCAGGGGAGUGAGAGCAGGGGAGUGAGCGAGCGAGCACGAGAGAGUGUGCGAGCGGGUGUGCCCGACCGACCGAGCGGGUAUAUUUACCCCAGUUCCGACCGGGCCGGUCGGCUAACGGCCGUUAACGGCCGCGCCGUGAGCGCGCGUGGCCACGUGGGCUGACAGAUGGGCCUGGUCCGUCAGGAAACGGGUUAAAUCGCUAGUCACCGCGGGUUUGGGUUUUUUGAAACAGCGGACCGCGCGUUCGGUAGCUUUCUGAGAAAAAUUAAAAAGUGGUAGUUUUUUGGAACCAUAGCCUGUAAACUAGUAGUUUUAUGCUAUUUACUCCUUGAUCUGCCCGCCCACGUCGCUCAGCGAGUAGAAGAGGUAGCCUUCAAUGUCAUUGUUGAUGAAUGGGAUGUCGAAUGUGAGACCGAUUGUCAUCUCCGGUGCAAGGGUAAAGUUAUGGCCGUUCCAAGGGCCACUGGACCAAUAGGUUAUGGACAGAUUCCACCGGAUGAAAAACUGUAGCGUGCCGUUUGGGUCCAGCUCCAGCGUGAACAGCCCUGGAGACGGAUCUGCCAUGUUCUUCCAAGGAACAAGCCUCUGGAUCACACCGGUGAUCUUGUUCAUCCCGAGCUUUCCCCCUGGAAGCCAGGUGUUUGUUGGAUGGUCUAUGCUCCGCCAAUAAAUUAUCGAUGAAUUCGACGCGUCGGUGACGUCGAGGCUACCGGUGUCCCUGAUGACGGCCAUGGUGGAGUUGGAGGUUACACUCACGUUGGUCGACCAUAGCUCCAUGUUCCUGGAGUGGUCAAAGAGGACAAGGUUGCCAUCGCUGCCCAUGGCCAAGGCAACUCUGGCCGGGUCGGAAACCGGCAAGUCGGAGGUCGCCGUCGUCACCGACAGUAUGUCGCUGUACCAUAUGGCUAAUUAGUAGCUGUUGGAGCUGGAAGAGGAGGUGGUGUUACCUUGUGUCGGGGAGUAGAAUCCCAAGGUGAAUUCCUUGCCCUGGGAUACAAUCCUCUAUGUCGUCCCAGACAACAGCGAGGUGGAGUUGAUGAUAUCAACGGCUAUGCAGAUAAGGAUUUGGCUGAGUAGGAGGAGGAAGAUGAGAGGAGCCAUGGAUGGGAGCUUGGAAGAAUGCCCAACUACCCAAAGCUGGCAGGAGCAUGGGAGUUUGAACUUUUUGCCUAACUCGUGGUGGUGCUUGGAUGUAGAGGUUUUUAGGUUGGUGAGUAUUCAGUGUCAUUGUUGAAGAAUGUGAGGUCAAAAGUUUGUCAUCUAGUAUAUCAUGGACUAAUUCAAUAGGAAGAUUCCAUUGACCUGGUACAGCAGGCUCUGGUUUUCCCUUCCCUGAUUAAGUUUUCUCAUCCUGCGAUUACUAUAUACUUUGUGCAUGCUUCAUAAUUGUAUUUUUUCCCAAGAAAACGUAAAUGUUUUGCAUCCCAGUGCAUUAAAUUGAAAGAAGUUUAUGGAUUUGGCUGAGUAGAAGGAGGGGGAGGCCAGAGGAGCCAUGGAUGGGAUAUUCCAUGAAUACUGAAUAUCCAGGCACUCCUAGUGAAUGGUGAUGGCUCAGUACAGAGGUUUUUUAGGUUGGUGAAUGACUUCACCUCAAAAUACUAGCAAGGACCCUUCUUUGAUCUAGUACACUAGCUAAGGCUGAUUGAAAGGUAGACACACCCAACAACAUUAUGGUGCCGAAUCAUGGAUCAGUUAACAGAAUGCAAUCUAGUCACUACUGUGCUGAAAAUUAGAAGGGGGUUAACUAUGGGGGCUGUCCUUUCCUUGAUAAUAUUAUUCUGCCUAUUCAAUUCAUUCUAGGUCAACUUCAGCCACUUCUUGGACUGUGAAACUUGACCUAGAGUGUCGUUCUCGGUUGGCAGCCGCACUAGAUUAGCUUACCACCAGCCGCCCAACUUAUUCUGAAGACCCACGAUUAUUUCUGUAUGAAUUUUUCUGAAGGCCCCCGAUUAUUUAUGUAAAAAGCUAUGUGGCCUCUUGUAUGUGUUUCUCCCGAAAAGCAUUUUAGCAAAAUAAUAUAAGCACAUGUGCCACUCACAGAAGAUCCCACUAACAAGUGAGAAGCCUUUGACCUGCUCUCCUUCAGCUAUGGAGGGAGCCAUUCCUGGCCCCCCUUUGCUUCUUUCUCAUUCUUGGAGCUUCUCUUCUAAAUAUUCUGUUCUUACAAGACCAUGAUCUAGAACGACUGUACGAGGCACAUCAAGAACUUUAAUUUUCUCUUCUUCGGUUUGGAGCAUAUCAGGAAGCCAACACAUACAGUCACACAUGUUCAAGAUGAAAGAUCGUUCACUCUGAUCCCCUAAUUUGCAGUAUUCAUUUGUGGGUCUUGUCGGGGAUAUACCCCGCGGUAUGACCCGGCCGGAAUUGGCGACUCACUGGUGACCCGCCCGGAGCUUGGCGAUUCACAGAUAACCUGCCCGAUCUUGGCGACUCAUUAGUAACCCGGCGGGCGGGUCAGAUGGACAACAAGGCCCAAGGCCCAGAAGGCCGGCUCACAUUUAUGAUGGGCCGGCUUAAGAAGGAAGGGGUGACGAAUAUUUCCUUUACGGGGAAGCAAGACCCGGACUUGUAAUUAACUUGUAAGAGAAGAUAGACUAGUCCUAGUCCUACUAGGACUCCACAUGUAACCCGCCCCUCUAACUUAUAUAAGGAGGGGCAGGGCUCCCCGAAGAAGGACAGGCAACAAGAAAUAAUCUCUAGGGCUAAACACCGAGAGCCGGUUCCCGGCGACUCUCCCGUGAUCAUAAUGAGACCUAGCCUCAAACAGCAUGUAGGGUUGUUACCGGAUGAUGUUUCCCGGGGCCCGAAGCUGUCUAAACCUUUGUCUUGUGCGUUGAUCCGCCCUGCGUCUCUCAUCCCAAUCAACCCCUCUCAAGCUACUACAUAGAUGCGCUGGCCUCACGACUAAGUCCUUACACCUAGGACAUCUGACGUGUUAAUUCCACGACAGUUGGCGCCCACCGUGGGGCUAGGCGCACGGUGGUGUUGAGUUCUUGGAGGGAUCUCUUCAGGGAUCGAAGAGCUCGCGAGUAGACAGAUGAAGGUUUACGUUCCAUAAGAUUAAGAGUGCGUCGGAUGUACUAUCGCCGCCGCAAGUUAGAGAUGUGUUCGAGAUCAAGCAAUGCAAGGAUCACGUCACAGGGGCCAGCAGGAGUGCAAGAGAAAUUUUUUGCAGUAUGAUUGGGGAGCAGUUGAAUCGCAAGUCGCCAGGCCGUGUUUUCCUGUUACAACACGUUUUUUCUGACGCACCCAGACCCGAGGUGUUUUGUCGCUAUAGGCGACUUCCAAGUCAUAGAACGUCCAUCAAUCGUGCCAACUACUGCUGCAUGUUAUCGUACAAAGGACAAAACAGGAUCUAUGCUGCUCACGUGGGUUGAGUGCUAGUUUAAUUCUCAGAAUUGCUAUCUCGGAUAGCUAUACAUACAUGGAGGCAGGCUGCACAAGGAAAUAUGAACAGAGCCGUCCAAUCAACAGCGAUGCACUCGAGAAAGAAAGAAAAGGGCGUGGGGUUGCCGAGUCAAAGUACGACCCGGAGAAAGACAGGGACGUGGCCGCAGAUUCGGCCCUGUCCUACGAUGCUCAAGCUUCUGCCUGUGAGCCGGCCGAGCGGACAUCUGACUCGCCCUCGCCAAAUCACCGCCUUCACCAUUAGCCGGGGCUGCCUCCGAUGUGCCUCCUCUGCCUCGGCCCACACCUCGACGCUGCUCCAUGGCUGUGCUGCUGCCUCGAGACGGCCAAGCUGCUGUUAGCCUGCACGCCUCGCCGUUGCUGCUCCUUCUAUGAGCGCUACAGCUGCACCUCCACUACGAUCUGCCGCUGCUGCUUUGUGCAUAAAGACCAAAAUCUAGUCAUCAACUACUACUCCAUCAUCCACUAUGACGUAUGAAGGCACUAGUCAAACUGAUGGGUCAAACCAAGCAUGACCCGGAGGAGAUCUCGGUCACACGGAGUCGGCCUCGCCUCCACGCGCCGCAUUAAGAUAUUGUCGCGCCUCCGGACUGGGUCCUGCCGUCGCCGCUGCUGCACUUCUGAACCGCCGCUGCACUGGGUCAUCUUCUACCACCGUCAUCGACCCUAGGGUGCUGCCGCUGCUGCUUUGAGCCGCCGGCCCCCAAGCCUCCCAAACCGCCGGCCUCCAAGUGUUGCGAGUCGCCCCGACCGAGUUGCCAUUGAGCCACCCCGGCCAAAGCGACUUCAUCUACGGCCUUCACACCUCUGAAACGGCCAAAGAGUAUACUACAAUUUGCACGCAGUGAACAUUAUACAAACUACUGCGAACUCUCGCAAAGCCUUUGAGAGGAUCAACACAAAAAUUCUUGGUUAUCUACGGAUGCCAUAUGGUGAUCAUCUGUCACCUAAAAUCAGGUGAUAUUUAUCUUACAUAUAUUGUUAGGUACAUGUUGAUUUCCUUCGACAAAAAACUACUCCGCCCUGUUGUAUGUUUUGUACGCAGGACAAUUGUGGUUUAUACCAUGGGUACGGAGCACGUACUUGCAACAUUGCGCCCGGUGUUCGUCCGUGCCUCGUUUCCCGGUAAAUGGACACGCAAGCCGCCACCCUUGCGGCCCGGACUACUUCAACUCAUCGGAACCGUCCCUGUGAUUGGCUCGUCCGUCCGCGCCGUCUUACAACGCCACGGACGACUCGCCCGUCCGCCCUCGCGGCCGGUUCACGUGUCUGCGCUAGCUUACAAACGCCGUGGCCGACUCGCUGUCCGCGCCAGCUUACAAACGUCGCGGCCGACUCACCCGUCCGCAUCGGUUUACCACGAUGUGGCCGGUUCACUCGUGAGCGACUUCAACUUCACCUAGCGAUCAUCAAUUUCAUGGCAGAUUAUUUCUGGCCUGGCACAUCAGGUGAUAUCCAUCUAAAAUAUAUUUUAUUGGUACAUAUUAUUUUGUCAAAGAGCAGUUUAUCUUUGUCUAGGUCUGCAAUAUUGUUGAUGCAGGACAAGUGUUCACUACAUCAAAACGGAGUGGUUAACUCGCCCGACUGCGCCGGUUUAUAACACCGCGGCCGGUUCGUCUGUCUAGGCCGCCUCUGAUGCUGAGGUCGUCUUUUCCGUCCGCCUCUCGCGGCCUGGUCUACAUCAACACACCGAGCAGCACUUAUCUGCAUGAGCUGUGUAUUGAGUAUGAGCAGGUCACUACUUGGGAAGCCCGGUUUUCUUCCAACAAAUUGGAGGCAAAUUAUCAUAUGUUAUCAGCCGCCGUCUGCACCUGGACGGCUCAAUGGACAUGCGCACAAGUCGCCAUCACUACAGUUUGGUUAAAGCUUCAAACAGCCAGUUGGAAGGAACCAUUGGCCGAGUUGCUGACACGGCUCAUAAGAGAUCAUUUAUAACCCGCCGCAGUCACCUCAACCUUCUGUGGAUACACAUUGUGUUAUCAACACCAAUGAUAUACAAGUUAUGCCGGUUUGUAUCACGGUUAAAUAUGGAGAAUCUCAAGCCAACUCCUCGAGUCAUCUUGAGACUCGGGGGCUACAGUGACAUGACUCGGGAACCCCGGGUCGUUGGAGGGAAUGAUAACCCGGUUCCGGAGGCUGCUACCAUAUCGAUGAAACUUUAAAGGCCGUCAGAAAAUUGCCGGUUCAAAUAAAGAUUCCGGUUUUAAAUCCGGUUCAAGAGAUAUUUUUUCUCCCGCAAAGUUUUGAAGCUCUCAAAUCCGGUUCAAACGUCCGGCUCAAGGUAAAUUUAUAUCUUAUAAAGCUUUGAAGCUCUUAAUAUCCGGUUUACAGAUUUCCGGUUCAAAAAGAGGUUAUCUCUCGCAAAGUUUGAGUUCUCAGGAAAAAUUAAAGGGACCAAAGAGAGUCUGUUACAAAGCACAACUCAGAUAUAGGUACCCUGCUUUAAUGACCAUUGGGAGCUGAUCGUAUUUGAAUUUGGCUUAACCCUUUUGGUGUGACCCUGAUCGUAUUCGAAUCAGAGUCGUUAAAUAUUCUCAUGAUCACUAGGGGGCUUCCUGUUCAAACAUAGGUCGUAUUCAAACCAAAGAGAACAUAGCUGUCGAUACCCUUUUGAUCGGCACACUGCCGAGCUCAUUGGGGAGUUUCUUGGUCAUAUUUGAACCAUAUUGGAGAUGACUCGAGGAGUCAUUUUUUGCUCAACUUAUUGAAGAUCCGACUCAUCACAUUCUAAAUGAGCCGGCCCUUGGGGGCUACCAAUUGCUCCUGUCGAAAAUUCAAGGUACACAAGCUUUAAUCUAUUAUAUUGAAAGAUCCAUUACUCAGUUGGUAGAGUACAAAGCUCUUAACCUUGUGGACGUGGGUUCAAGCCCCAUGGUGGAGAUUACAUCAUAUGUUGUUAUUAUCAAUGAAUCAUAUACAAAGUCCCAGCUCGGUAAUAUCUUACUGACCCGGCCCUUGGAGGCUACACGUUGCUAGUCAAAGUUUACAUGAUCAUAUUUACAAAGUCCCUGCUCAUUAUUAUAAUGACCCGGCCCUUGGGGGCUACACUGGUUGAAGUUUUUAUGAGCAUAAGGCAAUUACAAGUCCCAGGUUGCUGCAAGCAUGACAACCCGGCACUUGGGGGCUACAUAUGUGGAAUAUUCAGUUUAUGACUAAUGAUUGAGAUGAAUAACCCGGUUUUCUUCAAGGUUGCAACACUUAUAUUGGAGAAAGUCUUAAGUUAUCACUAUGUUCUCCUCUUAAGACUUGGGGGCUACAGGUGAUAUGCAUAUAAGGAAAAAAAUCAUCAAAUUCUCAGUUUUGAGUAGAUCAGAUUGACCCGGUGUUUGCAACAAUCAUGAUCCGGUGUCACCAAUAAUUAUGACCCGGCGUCGGCAACAGUUAUGACCCGGUGCUAUCAAUAUUUACAAGCCGACAAUUUUGGUUAUGAUAAACCGGCAAGUUUUACCUCUUCAAGCCAGCUGAAAGUCAGAUGAGUAUUUCAAGACCAAUAUAUUUUAAGUCGGUGCUUUGGAAGCCGAUUCAAGUGGAUUAUUUCUUACAAUAUUUCUCUACAAGAGACCAAUGCCAGCAAAUUGACUCUGAAGCUGGCCUAUUGACCCAGAUUUCUUAAAAGAAGUAUCUGGAUUUUUUGCAUUCACAAAGUUUGAACAUAUCUACUAAAGGAGAUUUGCGAUGAGUUCAUGGGCAUGUAUCAAGAAGGAAAUGACAAGGAUUUAAAGAUGAUCAGGUGUCGGCUUACAAAAAUUUAACCCGGAGCACAACCUAUCAAGUUUGUUCUUGUGUUUAUUUUACAGGAUCAGUUUAACAUGGAUGAAUCCAAAUCAAACUGGGGGCUAAUGUCGGGGAUAUACCCCGCGGUAUGACCCGGCCGGAAUUGGCGACUCACUGGUGACCCGCUCGGAGCUUGGCGAUUCACAGAUAACCUGCCCGAUCUUGGCGACUCAUUAGUAACCCGGCGGGCGGGUCAGAUGGACAACAAGGCCCAAGGCCCAGAAGGCCGGCUCACAUUUAUGAUGGGCCGGCUUAAGAAGGAAGGGGUGACGAAUAUUUCCUUUACGGGGAAGCAAGACCCGGACUUGUAAUUAACUUGUAAGAGAAGAUAGACUAGUCCUAGUCCUACUAGGACUCCACAUGUAACCCGCCCCUCUAACUUAUAUAAGGAGGGGCAGGGCUCCCCGAAGAAGGACAGGCAACAAGAAAUAAUCUCUAGGGCUAAACACCGAGAGCCGGUUCCCGGCGACUCUCCCGUGAUCAUAAUGAGACCUAGCCUCAAACAGCAUGUAGGGUUGUUACCGGAUGAUGUUUCCCGGGGCCCGAAGCUGUCUAAACCUUUGUCUUGUGCGUUGAUCCGCCCUGCGUCUCUCAUCCCAAUCAACCCCUCUCAAGCUACUACAUAGAUGCGCUGGCCUCACGACUAAGUCCUUACACCUAGGACAUCUGACGUGUUAAUUCCACGACAGGUCUGGUUUUUACUGAAUAUAUGGAAAUUAUAGCAACAUAAAAGAAAUGUAGAUUAAUUCGAGUUGUUCUUAUUUUACUGGUAUCAGCCGCAACAACAGAGUGUGCAUUUUCAACAAUAAAGCUUGUUAAAACAAGACUCCGUAAUAAAAUGGAGACAUAUUUCUUUUUUUCAAAAGUACGCAAAUUGCGUACCAUAGCUUUAUAGAAGAAGAGAAUAUCGGAUACAAGACAACUAGCACUCGCUGCGAACAACGAGCGUAGCACAACUCCACAUCUGGCUAGCCACGAACAUCCACACACGACAACACAACUACAACGCAACAUAGCCUGCACAAAACCGAGAGCCUCGCCGCGUCUUGACCGACGUCAGUCACCACCGAAGAACAGUAGCUCCCGAAGAAGGCACUGUCUUGGAAUCACCAGCGACGACCAUACAUUGCGCCGAAGCAGAACGAUCAGGGCAACGGCAAGCACCGGAGGAGCGCAACAUAGGAUCAUCAAGUCUCUUGGCACGAUGCUCCCAACAGAGGGAUGACGUCGCAGACGCCGCCAUCGUGUCGAUCCAGAACAGAAUCAAGGCUUUCGCCCGGAGACAGCUGCCAAUCCCAAGCAGGCGAGAGGGAUGGUGACACACUCGACGACGCCUCUGAGGAGGAGAACGACACCCACGGGUGCCAUCGCCGCCGGCCCGGUCAGAACCGGACAGGGUUUUCAUCCGUAAUGCCGCGCAUCUCCACACCUCCAAGGUUACGGGCAACAUUGACCAAGAUGCCUCGCACCGCCGUCACCGCAGCAAAUUGCCGUCAAAGCCGCACAACCGUGGUCCUUCCCACCUGCACUGCAGGCAGAACGCGGCCCAAUCCACCAACCGUAGCCCAGGAGCACCAACAUCCAGCCAUGUCGUGCAAGUGCCAGAGCGACCACGUCGGCCUUCACCCACACCAGGGGACUGCCACAGGAAUGGUUCUGACCCACACCUCCGACCACUCCGGCGCCAACUCCUUCGAGGCAUCACCGCUCGCCCCUCACGCGGAGGCGGCCGACCCCCCGCUGCCAGCCAGGAUCUCCUUCCUGGCAGGGCCUCCCCAGCGACGCCGCCUCCAUGGCUGAGCUCACGCUGCCACCAUCGUCAGAGCCGGCACACCACCCUCCUCCACUACCCUGUUGCGCACCUCGCCUGGAUCCGCUGCACCGCCGCGCUCCCUGCCGUGCACCAGCGGCCACCUCCGCGAAAUGCGUCGCCAACCAUCCCACCACCAUGGCCGAGGGGAACGUGAUACCAACCACACCUCCACCCCGACGGAAGGACAACAGCCAACCAACGCCACCGGCAGGGCAAGGGUCGCCAGCAACGGCUGUCACUCGCACAAGGGACGGCCUUGCGAUGCCAACGACACCCACGCUCCGGAUUGGAGCCGGGCAGGCCCAGAUCUGACCCGCCCCACCGCGGACCGCGCCUCCAUGCCUGCGUCACCAGGAGAAGAAUGCCGCUUGCCAGAUCACCCAUCUAUGGCCAGCGGCACGCUGCUCGCCAGGGACCUCCUGGCCGAGCCUCUCUGCGCCGCCAGAGACCUGGCCUGUGCUCGCGCCGCCACCUCGUGACCACACCGCCGCGCAUGUCCUCCACCAACACACCGCUGCCCAUGCCCAACCACCACCACCACACCGCUCCUCCACGUCCCCCGUCGCGCGCCGACGAAGAACCGCACUGCCGCCCGCGCCAGCCCCUGCGCAGCCCAUCGGACAGCUCGCCUCCGCGCGAAGGAGAGCCAUCCAAGACGCGCCGCCUCGCCCGCCGCCUUUGACGGCCGGGCGCGGCCGCCACCGCCGGCGCUGGCGGCGGCAGCGACCGAGGAGGGGGCAGAUCUGGCGCCUCUGCUCUAGGGUUGGGGGUCCUCCGGAGUCGCUCGCGCGAGCGACCCGGGAGGAGCAACGAGUUUUUUUGAAACGAGGAGGAGCAAUGCAGUGCUCAUCUAGACAUAUUUCUAAGAGAUUACUUGUUGAUCUACAUCGAGAAAGAGAUUGCAAUAUGAUUGUCGACAGAUACAAUUAUUGAUGAUUUCAAUACGACGAAAUGCCCCGCACUGUUUGACUGAAAUUUGUUAGUUAAUCAUCAUCUAAUUGUACAUAUUCCAUACAUGUUAACACUUAACGGGUUAUAAUAGUACGCAUUUUGCUAUACAUUCCGUACACCUUAUUACAUUUUAGAGUUGUGAGAAACAGAUUCAGAUCCUUUGUUUGUGUUUCUCUCUUCUGCCUUGUCUAGUCUAUUCUAGCACUCUCUCGGAUCCAUAUUAAUUGGCGCAGCUUUAGUACAAAGUUAUAUGAGUUAAUUGCAAGGAACUGCCACAUUUCGGCACGCUGUGACGAAUCAGUACCACUAGUCACUUUUUUGCCAUGCAGUAUCAACUCUAAGCCUAAGUGUUGCAAAACGGUCUGACAGCCGUAUAAGCGCGUAUUGACCACGUAUCUGGCCUACCGGGCCCACGUGUCAGGUGCCACGGUGGCUUACCCGCGCGCACCCGCGCGGUCACUCGUCCCAGCCGGCUCGGUCGCACCAAGUAGCUGGGUCGGGUCAAACCCGUACGCGACGAACCCUAGUUUCCUCUCCCCCUCCCUCGUCUCCCUCUCCCCUCUCAGGCGAUGGCGGCGGCGACUCCCGGCGGCGCCGACGGCGCGGGCGGGUACGGAGACCUUCCUGCACUACAAAAAAAAUACACUUCCGUGAUGAUACGUGUUUGUCACAGUAGGUCGCGUUUUUGUCAUGCAUGUACAUCCAUGACAAAUUUAUGACAGAAUCAAGAUAGUCAUACCUGUGCUGUCGUAGAAGUGUUCCAUGACAUUACCAAAAUUAUUAUCACGGAAGUGUCCACUUCCAUGACGAUAAAUCGCGCGUCACAGAAGUGCUUUCGUCAAGGGUGACCGACACGUGGCAUCCACCGUAACGAAACGCCGUUAAGCUAUCGGGUCCGGUUUUGGAUCCGAUAACCCGUUAACAACCACGACCAAUGGGGAUUUUCCACGUGUAAAAUCAUCAUUGGCUGGAGGAAACAGGUGUCGGCUCACCGUUGGAACAGAUGUCAUCCACUCAUUGGACCCAAAACGCCUAUGAUACGUCGACACGUGGCACGGCCCAACAGAGGCCCAUUCCUGUGAAAAGGCCGGCCCGUUUGACUUGGUCAAAAGGUGGCGGGCCGGCCCACGGCAAGCCUGUUAAUGGCCUGUUCGCAUAUAGCCCAAUUAUAGCCCGCUAACCCAGGGCCCGUUUACGGCCUAACCGAAUUAGGCCCAGUAGCGUCAUCUGGGCCGUCCAAUAUAAUUCCAGCCCAUUUUAACUUCCGGCCCAUGUAUGGCCCAUGACGUCUUUCGGCCCAUAUGAGGCCCUUAUUACUCUCGGCCCAUUAACGGCCCGUGGUAAAACUGGCCCGUAAUGAACAGUGUAUCACUUUAUACCCAUUAACGGCCCGUGGUGAAACUGGCCCGUAAUGAACACUGUAUCACUUUAUACCCAUUAACGGCCCAUUAUUCCGUUGGGCCGUUUCCAGCCCAUGUUAUCUUUCGGCCUUCUCAGGGCCCAUUUAUUCUUGGGCUCAUUUCCAGCAUUCGGUUACUUACGGCCCAUUACUGUCAUUUUCUGCUUGUGGGCCAAAUUCAGCUUGUGCUUACCGUCGGCCCGUUUGUGGCCCGUUAAUACGUUGGGCCGUUUUCAUAGCGUCAUCAAAUACGGCCGAUUAACGACGGCCCAUUAUGGUCGGCCCAUGAAUAGACGAUUCCAACUCUAGCCCGUUUACGGUCAUAAAGCGGUAUGUUAUUGGCCCAUGUUUGGGCAAUCGAUCAUACGGCCCGUAGAAGGCCCAUUGAUAAUAGGGCCCGUAGAAGGCCCAUUGUUUCUACGCCCCGUAGAAGGCCCAUUGUUUCUACGCCCCAUAGAAGGCCCAUUGUUUCUACGGCUCGUAGAAGGCCCAGUGUCACUACUAAAUAUGUAGCCCAUGGUUAUUGUGGCCUAGUUUAAAAAAAGGUUAUUGCGGCCACUAGCAAACCAUGGAAAAAGAACAGCACUGACUACAAGCAAACAAAUAAACAAGACAACAAGGAAAUAAUUAAGCAAGCAACUUACGCUAGGCUAUCACGGCUAUUACACAUAUUACAUCCACUGGGCAUCAAAGUUCGUCACCAGUGCAAAUAUAGGGAACAAAGCAGCAUAUCAUAUACACUGGUUGUCAAAGUUGGCGACCAGUGCAAAUAAACACCGCAGCAAAACAUGUCCAGAACUGAAACCACUUCAGAAGAUCUCAAGAAACAAUAUCCUGGGUACCCAUAAUGCUGGCAAGAUGCUUAGCAAGCUUAUUAACUUUCUCUUGUUUGGCGCUUAAAUCCUCCAGCGCUUGCUGUUGCACCAGAAAGUAUGCAUCUGAAUUCUGCAGGGACUUCCUCUGUCCUUCAGCUUCCUAUCGCAACACAUCUGAUCGAUGUCUUUCAACUUGAAGCUGAGACUCAAGAAGACGAACUGAUUCAGGCAGCGAGUUCGAAGAGCUUGUGCCAGCAGUAGUGGCCAGUAACUCGAACACUACAUCAAGACAGGACUUCUGGGUUCUCUCACUAUCGUCAAGGUAGUUUUUAUCAGCUUUCUUGGAGACCAACAAGGAUGUCUCACUAUCUUGAACCUUAUCUGCAUUACUUCCUUCACCAUUGCAUAAUGGGGUACUGUUCUCCAAUAUUUUGUCCGCAUUCUAAAAGAGAAACAAGCAGACACAUCACAGGUUUACCAUGUUGUAUAUGAAACUCAUUUUGGUAAAUCAGUUCAGUAGUAAAGUGCACAUGAUAACAGCAUGAAACAAACAUAUAUCUAUGUACCAUGGUCACUUUAUGGUCUAUAUCAUUCUAGUUUUUGUUGCCAAAUCAAGAUAGAGACACAGUUUAAAUAAUAUUUGUUCAAGACAAAGCAGAAUAGACAGAAUAUAAGUGUGGGAAACUAUAGAGACACUUGUAAUGUGCAUGACAUGAGAACGUUACUGUUUAUUCAAUUGAAACUGAAAUCAAUAUAGAGCAAGUUACAACAAGAAACCAGUUAAAGAAACAAGUUUAAAACAUACAUGUUGCGCCAUUGGAGUUUCAAUUCCAUCCUUCAAAUUUGAAAAUAGUUGGUCUGAGUAAAUACAGUGAUGCAAGAGCAAAGGAGUAUGAACCAUAGCUACAGAACCUGACCUGAGAACAAUUCUUCUUCUCCUUUAAGCGUUGAGUUGGGAUUCAGAGUGGUGGUCCUCGUGCUUUGGGCACUGCAGUUCCCUUACUAACUGCUCGUGUUUGGGUGCUCUGUGGUGGAGACGGUGCUGUGUCAACUGGAACUGGGUUACUAUCUGCUGGGGUUGGGGUUAGAAGGGGUGUAGCUGGUUCUCUGUCCAACUGGGUAGGGGUACAAUCUGCGAGAGUCUGGGUUAUGUGUGGUGGGGCUGGUUCUUGGGCAAGUACAACCGUGGUUCUAUCUGCAUCAACUGGUAGCACUAUCUUUUCUGAAGACCGUGUUGUUACUCCCUUAGAUACUGCCAUCACCCUCUCCAAUUCAAAUGGCUGAGAAACAAGAAAAGUAAUUGAAUGUACAGACAUUGUAUGAUAGACAGGUGCAAUGGAUAGUGGGGAAUAAAAGAGGGCAUGAAAUAAUUCACAUUUAUGUUGUCUAACCAAACAGGAUAGCAUGACACAAUUUCACAUAUAUGAUGGCUAACUAAACAGGAUAGCAUGAUACAAUUUCACAUUAUGAUGGCUAACUAAAAAAGAUGGAAAGACAUAGUUCAAAAUAUGAUGACUAUGUAAACAGGAUGACAUAAUAUAACUAUAUAAUGUGUUUAUUAAAUAGAUUGGCAUGCCAUAAUUCACAUACAUGCUGCCUAUGGAAACAUGAUAGCAUGAUAUAAUUCCCGGAUAGAAUGACAUAAUUCAAAAUAUGAUGAUUGUAAACACUAAACAGGAUGAGAUGAUAUAACUAUAUGAUGUCUUUAUUAAAUGGGUUGCCAUGCCAUAAUUCAGAUAGAUGUUGUGUAUGUAAACAUGAUGGCAUGAUAUAAUUCAAAUAUAUGAUUUAUAUAGUAAGCAAGUAAGCAGAUGGCAAUCCAUAUAUGAUGUAAAAACUAAGCAAUGCAAGACAACAUGCAUGACAUGGGUAAUAUAACCCUGCCAAGUUUGAGCAUAGACCUCAGGGGGGAAAUAGGACUGGUCAUCAGUCUCUGAAUCCUCCUCUGAGGAGCUCUGUGUAUCCAGCAAGAUGUCUGCUUCAGCAGGUAGCAUUGUCUGCUCUGAAUACCUUGUUUUCACUCCAGAUACUUCCAUCACCGCUUCAAAUGGCUGAUGCACAGGAAGAGUAGUUGAAUAUACAAAUGUUGUCGACAAAUGGAACACGUAAUACAAAAAAAAUGAUAGCAUGAUAUAAUUCACAUACAUGAUGAUUGGCUCAACAGUAUGGCAUUGCAUAAUUCACAUAUAUAAUGCCUUUGCAACAUGAUAGCAUUGCAUAAUUCACAUACAUAAUGUCUUGCAACAAGAUGGCAAUGCAUAAUUCACAUAUAUGGUAAUUAGACACUAAGCAGGUGGCAUUCACACAAAGCACGUUUAAACUAAUCAAAUGACAUCGCAAUGCAAGACACCAUACGCACGAUAUGAGCAACAUAACCCUGCCAAGUUAAUUAGAGCAUACACCUCGGGGGGAAAUAGGACUGGUCAUCUGUCUCUGAAUCCUCCUCUAAGGAGCUAUCCGUAACCAGCGAGAUAUGCGCUUCGUCAGAUAGCAUAGUCUGCUCUGAAGACCUUGUUUUCACUCCAGAAUGUACUAACAUUGUUGACAAAUGUAAUACGUAACGAAAAAAAGGAUGGCCUGAUAUAAUUCACAUAUAAGAUGACUGGCUAAGCAGGAUGGCAUUGCAAAAUUCACAUAUAUGAUGCCUGGCUAAACAAGAUGGCAUUGCAUAAUUCACAUAAACGAUGAAUAAACUAAAUAGAUGGCAUUCACACAAAACAUGUCUAAACUAAGCAGUUGAUGUAUAAAGUAAGCAAUGCAAGGCACCAUAUGCAUGAUAUAACCAACAUCAGCAUGCCAAGUUAGAGCGAAGACCUCAUGGGGUAAAUAGGAGUGGUCUUCUACUUCUGAAUCCCCCUCAGAACAGUUAUCUUCCUCUUGAUUACGAUCCGAAAUGGGUGGAGGGGGGGUUGCCUUUGCGCCCACCAUGGAGCGACGUCUGCAUGAAAUUUUAUUACCACGCAAGGCUCGUCUCUUUUGCUCUACAUGUUGAGUUCCAUUGUGUACAAUAACUGACAUGCAUAUGAAUAAAACAUAGUGAGAUUAUGUAAGGAGUGCAUGCACAAAUCCAGAGUGAUGGUAGCACACUGUGGAUAGACCCAAAACCAAUGAUAGCAGGCAGAUAAUAGCUUUAGUUAAAAAAUACAGAUAAUGGCUCCUUUAAUGUUUGUUUGCACCCAACAUGAAACUCAUAGUAGACACCCGAGAUUAACCAGAUAGUAGACAGAUAGUACUGAUUGCUGCCCCAAUAUGUACCCCACAACCAUUUAAAAACUCAAGUUUCAGCAUAAGUUUGGACCUGACUCGGAGUCUAAUAGGUGAACACGACGAUAAAGUAGCAUGUCAUCAUAUUAAGCGAUGCAUAACGUAAGCAGACACGGAAGAGUACGACCUCUCUUGCGGACCCAUGUAGUCCUCAAGGUCAUCUGCUCAGUUGAUGAUGGUAAUGCAGUUUUCGUGGCUGCCAGCGGCGGGGAAGAAGAUCUAAGGCGGCGAAAGACAGUCUGGAGAGCGGAUCCCUGCUGUGGUGAACCCUUCCAUCAUUGGAGCAGCUGAGCUGGGGUGGAACACAGCACCGCAAGAGCAGGACAAACCACACAAGGUUUUCUUUGACACAUAUCUGUAACAGAAGUAAUUGUGUAAGGGCUUGUUUGAAUUUGAGGAUUCUAACAAUGCAGGGAUAGGAAAUAGACAUGAAUAGGAUAGGAAUGCACGUGCAAAACAGAGAAUUUAAAAACACAUGAUUUCUGCCAAUCUGGGUGUUUCGUUCACAAGAAUUGGAAGAUCACAGGAUGCAAAGAAGCAUGGUGAGAUUAAGUCAAACCACAAGAAGUGUACAACCUCUUUGGCGAAGCCAUGUCAAUCUCAGCGUGAUUGGGUUGGCCGGUGAGGAUGCUCCGACUGACUUGGCUGUCGGAGGAGGGGAAGAAGAUCUUAGGCAUCUGGAGAUGGAGCCCGAGGUACUGCUCCGCUGUGAUGGAGGGUUUCGUCGUUGGAGCAGCUCCGGUGAGUUGUACGAAGCCGAGGCUGAAGCAGGACAAGAGAGACAACGUCAACCUGAGUGGAAUUCUAAUAGCAUCUCCAAUAGAUGACGUAAAAUACAUAACCACAAAGUGCUAGAUGUGUACAUCAGCCGCUCAUCUCGGAACUUAACUAUCGAAACUGAAUUUUGCUGUCGAAACUGAAUUUUGCCGUCGAAACUAAAUUUUACUGUCGAAACUGAACGCACUAGAGGUGAGGCUACACGUCAGUCGACUGACUUUUUCAUCUCUGGUCAGUCGAUUUUGCAGCCAUUGGAUACGAAAUCAAGGGCCUGUAGUUCAUCUUCAACCUCCACCCCCCUGAGCCGCCAGCCACCACCGGCCAAAUAGUCGCCCCCACCGCCCGCGGCCGGCGGUGCGCCGCCCCGCCCGCCCCGAAAACACUUCCCACCGCCGGUCCGCCGCCGCCCCGGCCAUCCCUCUAGCCUCCCCCCCCGUGCCGAGCUUUUUCUCUGGCGAUCCCCACGCCACCGCCCCACCACCACCGGCGACCACCGCCCCCACCCUGAACCCUAAGAUAGAUAGUGGGGUACUUCUCCGGCGAGCUCCCCUCCCCGCUGCGACUGGUUCUUCCUUCACUCCGGCGAGCCCCCCACCCCCUGAAAAUCGACUGACCCAAAAGUCGAUUCAGUCGACUGAAGUGUAGGUAAAUCGGAGUAGCAUCGCAAGCAAGAGCAAGAGUGAGAGCAGCAGCGCGAGCAAGAGCAAGAGCAGACCAGGCAGGGGACCGAGAGCAAGAGCAGAGCAGCAGCGCGAGCGAGAGCUAAAGCAGCAGCAGCUCCUACUGAUGUGGACGUCGCCGCCGAGGGAGCGACGCCGUGGAGGAAGUGGCCGGCGACGCCGCGGUGGAUGGAGUCGCGUCGUGUCGGCUCGGGACCGAGCGCCGGCAGCACCGUGAGAUCGAAUCAAGAAGAAAAUGUGGCGAUUAGUGUACAACCUCUUUGGUGGCGCCGAUUAGGCCGCAACUUCAUCCGAGGAAACGGUGAUGCUGAUGCUCUUUCGGUGGUGCAGGUGAAGACGGCGGUGUGGGAAUGGAGGUGGCGCGAAAGACGAGGUGAACAUUGAGGCAGCUCCUUGGAGGUGGAGGAUGGGGUGGCUGAACCGGCAGGACGAUCAGAUCGACGACGGAUCCUCAUCCGGUACGGUGGAUGAGGGACGUCGAGGUGUUGCUGUGGACGACGUCGUUAGGGAAGAGGCUCCGGCUGGGUGGCGGACGGAGGAGGGUGUGGGGCUUCAUGAGUUUUCCCGGCCUCGGUGUACGAAUGGGUGGGCGGAUGGGAUGGGAGUGGGGAACCAUGGCUUAGGGACGCGCUUGUCCGAAAUGUGGGGUAAGUUACGAAAGUACCCCUACUGAUUUGAGGCGGUUCUUUCGGUUCAGGGGUAUCAGGGGCAUUUCGCGUGUCGGGAUUUCACAGGAGGUGGGAGUUUUCGCGUGCGUUGUAAUUUUGGAAUAGCAAGGCGCGGGUUGAGAACUUGAGAUGGAGGGAGUUGUCGGAGCACAACGAGACAAAGAUAUAUCUUAAAUAUUUCGGGCUAACAAGGCGCGGGUUGAAGAGGCGGGAGUUUCGCGGCACGAUAGACAGAGACGCUAGCUUGAAAUUUCAGCAUAACAAGGCGCGGCUUGAAAUUUCGGGAGAACAAGCUUAACGUGUACCCAAAAGAAAAAAAGACAACUUAGACUAGUAUGAUAUACUACGUACAAUGUGUUUAACACGCACAACACACACACAGACACCAUUUAGACUUAGUAAGGUACACGUGCAUUGCACGCAUGAGAUUUGGCAACCAAAUUUUGAAUAAAUACCACAUUAUAGUAUGUAAGCUUUGAGUCAUAUAUGCAUGAUGUAGAUGUUCGUUUAAUUCUUAUAGUUCAUUUCAUUCAAAAUCAUCUACUUUUUAUAAGAAAGCUAAUCUAUUUUAAGAUUCAUGGAAUUGUGUGUUGUAAGGCAUAAAGUAAAAACAAAUCAUGUAGAAAAACAUUUGGGCAAUUCUGAUACGGAAGAUUCUAGAACAAAGAAGAAGUGCUUGUGUUUUGAGGUUUGUGCAUUAUGCUUAAGUUCAACCAUAGAGUCUUCUAGAUUGUACAUGUGGCAAAAUCUGGUGGAAUCUAGAUGAUAUCCAACGACCAGUAGUGCUCAAAUUUGCCAACUCUGCACCAUCAGAUUGGCCUCAUCCAACGACCAUCUUUCAAAGUUAAAGUUAUCCGCACACUAUAUAAAAAAUAUUAUAUAUAUAUAUAUGGGUAUAGAUAUAGAUAUGUGAUGUGAAAGCCACCCAUCAUCUCCAAUUAGAGUAGUGUGUCCAUGCACGGAUGCAAUGUGGCCAAACGAUGUCUGCCAUCGGUAUCUGAAAUUCAAACCAGUCUGACCUUGUUCAAUGUGUAUACAUUACAACAUGCUCAUUUCCAAACCACACCGCGCAGAUCUCCGUUAUAUUCAUGCAUGCAUGGGUUUCAAACAUCAUGAUCUCUUAUUCAAAUAUUUGAAUUCAACUUUACAUUGAUUAUGACCUCACCUAGUCUUUUACACCCACACAUUGGUCUUCUCUUUAUAAUUGUACCACUAACUUUCUCUCGUGCAUGCAUGCACACACACUACUAGUCGGCAUUAUCCAUCGCACACAUGCAAUCUUUUUCUUCAGGUCGGUCUCCCAUGAAGGUACACACACACACAUCCCCCUCUCCAUCAUAUCGGGCAUUCUUUAUCUCUCACGUGCAUGCGCAAUGAUCGAUGUUCUAUGUGUGUGUAUAUAGUUAGGUCUUUCAUAGUUUUCCACAUAAACCGAUCAAUCUAUAUAUCUAGUGAGGUCUCACCCUCUUUCCCACGUCCACAUCGAUCAAUCUAUACCUCUCUAUAUAGGAUUACAUAUAUAGCUAAUACACCCACAUUAAUUAUAUAUCCAACGCCCCCUCUCAUCAUCCAUGCCUUCCGCUUCAUCUCUCAGAUGCGCGCACAAUGGCGAAGACAGGGGGCAGCAAGGGCCCUGCCCCCCCUAACAUCACUAUAUAUCGAGGCUAAUAUGAAUGUGAUCAUUAGACAAUUGCUGGUAAAAAUGGUUUAAGUUGAUGAAUUGGCCCUCCUCGUAAAGGAUUAGCAAUGCUUGGCCCCCUAGCUCACUAUAUAUCUAGUUGAAUUGCCAUUAUUUGUUUUUACUUUAUGCUUUACAACGCACAAUUACAUGAGUCAUAAAAUAGAUUAAGGGCUUCUUUGAUUCAAAGGAUUCUCGAAGGAAUUUUGGAGGAUUCUAAUCCUUAGGAAUUUUUCCUAUCUUGGUUGUUUGAUUCGUAGGAUUGUAAACCAUAGGAAUUUUUCCAUAUGAUUCAUUUGCACUAGAUUUCAUAGGAAACAUCCCAUCCACUUAAACCUCUUUGAAAGAAUUCUGCGUUUUUUCUAUGCACAAUCAAACACUUGUACCAUCCUGUAGGAUUCAAGAUGACAUUCCACUCUAAUCCCAUGUUCUUCCUAUUCCCGCGUUUUGGAAAUCCUACGAAUCAAAGAGGCCCUAGGUUUUUUAUAAAAACUAAUCGAUUUUGAAUGAGAUGAACUAUAAGAAUUAAGCGAAGGUCUACAUCAGGCAUAUAUGACUCAGAGCUUACAUGCUACAGUGUGGUAUUUAUUCAUAAUUUGGUUGCAAAAUCUGACGCGUGCAAUGCACGUGUACCUUACUAGUACUUCGAGUAUGUGCAAAACACAAUGGCACGCUACACAGUGUCUCUCUUACAGUUCAUGAAGCCACGUGGCACAUGUGGAGGCGUUGUCGCGACAUCCUUGUGUGGAUUGAUCACAGUGACGUGCUGCUGGUUCCAGAAGAAUGUACUCGUCCUCCCUGAGCUGCACUAGCGGUACAUGCACGAAGCGAAGAUGUGCACGCACGCCACGCACGCACUCAUUCCCUCGCACGCACACGCGGGUACACAGGCGGACGCAAUUUUGUACCAAGAUCCACCCCAUGUGAUAAUUUGACGCGUGUAAAGUCCUUCACUUCAUUGAUGGUCAAUUAAUACAGCGCAUGCAAAUUGAGUGGGCGUGAGGGCGGAAGAAAGACAUUACUACUCCACUGCGCGCAUGCGAGUAGUUAAAUCAUGGGUUGCUAGUAGUACUUACAUUGGUCUCCUUCGUAUUUUGUGCCAAUUUUUGACAGUAACAUAAUAUUUACGCAUCUGAGCAGUGUAGUCUACUUGAAAUUUAUGUUCCACUAAACUCAUCGGGGACCGUUUUGGGCCUCGAAACCAAAAACUAUCAAUUAAUCUUUACCUUGUUCCCAUCACAUUCGAAAGUACUAGUGCUACAAUUAAGUGCAAGCCUGCUCACACCUACCAGUACGUACCAAACCUGAACGUGUUCCCACUAUGCAGGUUUUAGUACUAGUGCUAGUACUUAGGUUAUAAAAAGGGGAACUACCUAACCAAAAAUUACUCUACCUUCCUCCUCAUAAGUCAUCCUUCUUCGUCCGUCCUUGCCAUGGCCGGUGUGCAGAGCUCUAGGUCGAGAACUACUCGUAACAAGGGAGGGGCAACCAAGGCUGCGGAAAAAAAGAAAGGGCUCGCCGCCACGCAGAGACCUCGAAAGAUCUCUCACGGGCAGGCGAUGGCUCCCAGGAGCGCCCUAGACGUGGAGGCGAACAUGCCGAGCUGGCGGCGCUGGAGUCGUUAUCCCUCGACGGCAUGCCCGAUCAGCUCAAUAAGCACCUCAAUAAGCAGAAGGAGUUCAUCCACGGCUUGGUGGAGCUGCUGAAGGAGAGCCUCGACGACAUGCCCGCUGAGCUCAAUGAGCAGGGGGAGUUGACCGCCGGCUUGGUGAUGCUGCUGAAGAAGAGCAUUGCCUCAGAGAAGAAGGCCACCGGCAAAAUCCUGCAACUUCAGGAGGACAAGGCGAAGCUCUGCCACGAGCUCGACCUGCUGAAGGAGGAGAACGCCGGCUGGAAGAAGCUGCAUGAGAAUAGUAGUUCCUCGAUGAAGAUGUUGCAGGCCCUCGUCAUGGAACAGAAGGAGGAGUUGGCGAAGCUCCGCAUCGAGCACCCGGCUGCUGUGAAGGUAUGUAAUGCGGCCGUGGAACAGAUGAUGAAGGCUCGCAUCAAGAAAUCCCGCGUCAUGGACACAAUGAUGAAGAUGGCGGAGGAGACGCGCAAGGAGAUGGAGGUCGUGGAGGCGAUGAAGAAGCAGUUACGACUCCGCGGCCAGCAACCCUUCAUGUAGUGAGAGCAUCGCCCCAGACUUGUGUGUGCGUCUUCCUUCUUUUUUGGGGGUGAUAAUCCUCCUUCUUCUUUUGCUCCUGUGUUUCUUAUUUUGCUUCGGGUGUUUCGCCGCACGUGUCACCUUCUCUGCGAGGCAUGAAUAGAACAAUGCUAAAAAUGAGAUGACUAGCAAAUUAGAUCAUUCUUUAUCGCCAAUAGAACAAUGCCUCUUGCUUGUAAUAUAUAAUAAGAGUAGAGAGUAGAGGAUAUGGCACUGGGCUGCCGUGUUUCGUGCUCCUCCGUCGUACUCCAGUGGAAAACUUGAGUAUACCGCAUGGUUCUUUGCUCCUCCUCAGGUCGUCGGCACAUUUAUACGAGCAGUCAAAUCACAAGGCCCCGCCUUCCAGCAGUAAUGAGCCGUCAAAUCACAAAGGCCCUCGCCUCUCGUGAAAAGGACCAAGCUAGUCUACCCCGCCCUCUAGCCUUUAAAAAUGUAUACAUUUGUACAGUAGUAGUAUCGAUGGAUUACACCAUGGAGCAAAACUAACAAGAUGUAAUUAAAGAAAAAAGGUGGUACAUAUAGAGAGUGCUCGUCGCCAAAUUAUACAUAUACUAUAUGACAUUACCCACUAUGAAGGUACUAGUAACAUACUCCGACUAGUAACUAGUCUAUGCAACUCUCCACUAUGACUAGCCAAAGUCGAGGCGCGGAUACCAACGAGGGCCUGGUUGUGUCUAUACUUGGACAACUCACCCGAUUGCAUGCGCACCAGGCAGAUGAAGCUCGUAUCGUGUUGGUGCUGUGUGCGGCCCGCACAUUAACCAAAACCUCGCGCCUCCAUCUCAGCCUCCGCGUUUUAAACUUCUCAAUCUCAAGGCCAAGGAGCAACGUGAAACCUAUGAUAGAGCCAAUCGGACGGUUGAGAACACUACAAUUUGUAGCUACAGAUGCGUGUGAGAGAGAGGACGAGUGCGUGCGUGCACCUCUUCUCAGAGUACAAGUGUAUGUGGGUGGCAUCGACCUAGGGAGCAGUGAUGGUGCAUGCGAGAAGUCCCGAGAGAUAGGUGUAAUGCGUCUGAAAAAAGACUAGUCUAUAGCUCGCCACGAGGCUAUUCCUGUCGAACGCCAAGUGUAAGAUAUGUAUCCGACGGUGCCAGUUUUUGCACGUACACAGCAGUAGAAAAAGAACUAGUACCAUGGCAUAUGCUACACCAUGGCCGAGAAAACGUGCCGACGUUACGCCAUCCGGGAAUAGUGCCGCACUUCGAAACUAGAACCAUCAAUAAAUUUUGAGCGCGUCUCGUCACAUUCCAAAUUACUACUACUACCACGCUAUAUUUAAUUGCAAACCUGUUCACACCGAUCACAACCUAAACGGUUUCCCACUUAGGAGCGUACUAGUAGUACUCGGUUAUAAAUACUACUAUGCUAAGAUGACUGCACAUUCCUCCUCAACUCCUCAUCCACAAAAAACAAUCAAGUCAAUCAAGCCAUGGCCAGCGUGAGUUCUGGGUCGAGAGAUUUCCACCAGGGAGAGGUGAGCAUGGAAGAGGAAGCACGAGAGAUGUCCCGCCUCGCCGCGAAAGCAGCCGACAUGUCCAGCCGCGCAGCAGUAGCAGCAUAGAGGUCCCGCCGCGCCGCCGAAGCAGCACGGAGGUCCCGCCGCGCCGUCGAUGUAGCAGACUGGUCCGGCCACGCCGCGGAAGCAGCAGAGAUGUCCCGCCGUGCCGCCGAAGCAGCACAGAGGUCUCGCCGCGCCGCGGCGGCCUGGGAAAAUUUCUCGCGGGCAGGCGAGGACUCUUACAGGCGCAUGCGUGCGAUGGUCCAUAGCCAGAUGGAUCAGAUCUCCGCUGGGCGAGGUUGCAGGACGAGGCUACCGGCGUCAUCCGGCAACUAGGGGAGGGCAAUGCGAAGCUCCGGGGCGAGCGCGACCUGCUAAGGGCGAAGAUCGCCGGAAGGGCGAAGCAGGUGGAGGAGACCGCUGCCUUGUUGCGGAGGACGGGCGUCAUCAUCAAGAAACUUAUGGACGAGAAUGCCAUGCUCCGCAUCGAGCGCAACAGACUGGUAGAGGAAUCCGUGGAUGCUGCCAAGCAGCGUAUUAAGGACAUGAAACUGAUGAAAGAGAUCAUCGCCCGCCGCGGGAACUAGUCUCCGCGACCUACAGCGCAUAAAGAAAGUAGAGAUCAGCGAGCCAGAUUGUUGUAUGCGUCUUCCUUCUUCUUUUGCCCUUGUGUAUUUCGGGCGUAGCCCGAUUUGGCUUUUUUAAUUAUCUUCCUAAUUAUGUAAGACAAUUAUUAUCCACUCUCGUCGUCCUUAUAUAUAUUCAUCAGUCUUGCUAUAAUUCGCAGUAGAUGCUAUAUAGGUCCGUCGGAUCUUACAUCAAGAUCCGUGCAAAAUUUUCUUUUUAGAUUUUCUUUUUUCUCUCUUAAAUCUUAGUCGAGUGAGACAUUGCCACGCCAUUAAACAGAGGCUCAAGCGCCAUUAAUGGAGACCUUGGGAGAGAGGUGGACAGCAGAUGGAAGUCAAAGGGCUCUCCUCCCGAUAAGCACGCGCAGGGGUCUGAUCGCACGCCUCCCGUACUCAAAUAGCUACCCUGCACGGCGCCUCCCAGCUAAUAAAAAAAGGGGACGCGUGGCGGCACGUAAAUGGUAAAUAGAACGCCCACGGUUUCAAUAAUACUUCUGUUUCCGAUUGUAACAUGACAACACUUGUUCCAAAAUGACUUUGUUGAUUGUUAAUGUGUGCGCCUUCGCAAAUCGGACAGCAAAAUUACCACAGCAUGUUGGUGCCAUGUCAUGACACCAAGCCAAGUUUCAUGAUUUUCAUGCGUGUUUCGGAUUUACAGGAAUUAAAAAACCAAGUUCCAGACGAGCCAUGACGCCCAGAUGUUUGAAUUUCAUUCCCAUUUCUCGCAUGGGACCUAGAAAUUUACACGAGAACACACAUGUGAUUUUUCAACCAGCUUUGGUGCACUGGAGCAUGUGCUUGUAUUUAAAAUUUGAAUUAUGCACACAAAGGUGACACGUCCCCUCUCAGAACCACGAGCCUUCUUGAGAGAAGCUCUGGUUUGCAAAAAGCUUAUACCAAAACUUGUUCCCAUUCUGCAAUUUUUUUACCACAACAUGGUAGUACCAUGACAUGACACCGUGCCAAGUUUCAUGAUUUUCAGGCGUGGUUUGGAUUUACAAGAAUUUUAAAACCAAGCUUCUCAAUGUUAUCGGCUGAACCUCAAUGCCCAGAUGUUUGAAUUUCAUUCCCAUUUCUUGCAUGGGACGUAGAAAUUCACCCGAGGACACACAUGUGAUUUUUCAGUCAACUUUGGUGCACGGGAGCAUGUGCUUGUAGUUCAAAUUUGAAUUAUGCACAUUAAAUGACCAGAAACUCAAUUAAUGUAUAAAAAAGGCCAAACGAACCCGGAAUAAUUCCAAAAUUUAACAGGGCACUCAUAUAGUUCCAUGUUGCCUCUUUAAAGAAAAUCUGGGGGGAGGCCGCGUAUAUUGUUUCGCACACAAAGGUAUAAAGAAAUAAAGAAAUUAGCAUACCUAUUUAAUUCUUGGGUUCUUAUUAUUUAUGCCACUAGUUGUGUAUCACUACUCAGUUUUGCCAUUAGAAGUUACAACUACUCAAAAAAUGCCAUUGAUCCGUGAGAUGCCUGCUCAAAAAUGCAAUUAGAUAUCUAAAAAAUGCCAUCGUUAAGUUAGAUGUUUGCUCAGAAAUGCCAUUAGACAUUGUUAUUUUCACGUCAAACCCGUUGACCAUGUUACAUGAAAAAAAUAAGCCGAUUCUCACAAUGAUAAGUUAAUGGUGUCCAGCACAACACACCCCUCAAAUAAAACUAAGCACCCUGGAAUUCUUUGACAAAACUAAGCACCCUGAAAUUCUUUGACAACUAAACUGCCGGCUAUAUGAUGUUGGCCAUAUAUAUUGUACGUAUAUAAUGUUAAGAAACGAGUGGUAUUACUGUACCAACUAAAAGAUGAAAUGUACGAAAUAUAACGAGAAGAAACAUAACAUAGUUCUACUGGGGGCUCAACACAACACACCCCUCAAAUAAAACUAAGCACACCAGAAAUUAAACUAAGCAACUAAUCCGGUAGACACCGCAUUAGAACCACCAUGAGCAAUGACACUGCCACCUUACUCGGAGUCCUCGUCCACGUCCUCGACUUCGUCCUUGUCCCUCUUCCUCUUGGGCGAUACUUCUUUGCUUGAACCGCACACUUGGCUCUUGCUCUUCAUCCAACCCUUGUAGAUAUGGAAACAAAGGUAGCCAUCCAUUGUAGCGUAGUGGAUGUGGUCCAUAUCUAGUACAUUCCACUGCCAUGCAUGACGAUGAAACGUGUACGGAGGUUUCUCUAGUUUACCAUACGAAGGAUGAACCAUGGCUCCUACCAGGGUCAGCAUUGAAGGCUGAUCAAGGGAGGGCACCAGCCCUUCCUUCUAGAGGUCGAAGGGGUCGCCUACAACAAGGCCUAUCCGACCCAGGAUUUCCUUGUCGUUCCUAAAGUCUACAGUAACGAAUUUGACUCGGCCGCCCUUGAGGAACUUCUUAAAUUCCUCGCACUCAACGUCGGCAUGGCAUAUGUGGUAGACCAAGCAUAAGUCAUGCACGCAAACCUGGAUCACGGCGGGCUUCUUCUUCUCUGCCUCCUUUAGUUUCUUCUCACUUCCCAGGACUGUGGUGUACUCAACAUCUAGCCCAGCAACCCACUCAUCAUUUGAGUUUUCGAACAUGCGUUUGAAGCAAGCAAGGCAUUCUUUCACCGUUGCGAAAGAACGGGUGUAGAUGACGUCGAACUCAUCGCCGGUGAUGGUUCUAACCUUGUACUCACCACCGAUCAUGGAGAUUUGGGACGCCAUGGAUUUGGGAGGAGGGUUAGGAUUAGGGAAACUGCCGUAAUGUGAAAGGACGGGACGACUAGGAGCGGUUUAUCAAUUGUAAAAAUGUCGAGUGGGGGGGCGCAUGCGAAUGGCAGGGUAGUGGCUUGCCUGGUGGAUAAAUGGAUUCAUGCACAGUACUAUGGGGGCCCAAUUAGAUGUCAUGUUUACUUGACGCCCAAUUAAAUGGCUUUCGAUUUCAUGUCAAGCGUUGGGAAAAUUACAGGUGAUACGAAGCUUUCCAUUCUCCCAUGAUACGGGCUUCCGAGAGCCCUUGGAUCUGAGAUCGAACGGUUGCAUGGCAUGAUUCUAGACCUAUGGGUGAAUAUCCUAUCCUGGAGGGUUAUUCUGCAAAUUUUCAGCAACUUAGCAUGCGACCGUUCGAUCUCAGAUCCAAGGGCUGCCAGCAGCCCGUAUCAUGGUCGCGCCUACCACGACCGUCGCCUCGCUCGCGCGGUCGCGCCCUUGGAGAUUUAACACGGUGUGUUAGGCUAUCUGAUGUUGGCAUAUCAUACAUAGUCAUCACUUUGUCACUCAUACAACAAGGUUAGCUAUAAGGUUGGCUAUAAGAGUAUUUUUUGUUUACUUCUCUCUAUCUCUUUCUUCGUAGUAUUUAUUAUAUUUUCCAAGGAGUGACCUCUUCCAAUGAAAUAGUGCUUAGAUGAGGUGCUAUGGGCAUUAAAUGGCUUAGCAACUCAAGUCCCCAAUGCAUAGGUGCUUAGUUUUUUGUUGCUAAGUUUGCUUCAUCUAGGUACACACGCUUAUCACCGUUUCUUCCCGGGGUCACCAAACUAGUCUAUCUCUUCUUAAUUAACUUGCCACAUCAGACUUUAUGCCUAUGUGGCAGGCUUAGCACAUGUAGGAUCAAGUACAAUAGUGGGCUAUAAGCCCGCUUUGCAUGGCAUUUUUGCAUAUGUGGGGGAAAGAGGCAAGGAAAAAGUGGAGGAGUGGGCUCUCAAGCAAGAGCCAACCUCUACAUGGUGGAGCAUCGGGAGAGGCACUUGUAUGGAGGUGGUCAGGAAUCGGGAGACUCACGCCGGUCGUAGCGCCGUAGUUAAAAUGAUAAUGGCAAGUCAAAUCACCAGACCCCACCUGUCCAGAAGUAACUCGCUGUCAAAUCACACAACCCUACGUUUGCAGUAGCCUACUCCCUCAUCUUCUCGCGUCUCUGUCGAACCGACUAGGCGGAACUGCCCCGCCUACCGCGCGGGAAAAGCCCCGCCCUCGACUUUUAAAUAGUACAGUAUACUAAUUUUGUAUCCAUGGAUUGCACCAUGGAGCAAAGCCUCAAGAAAAUGACGGCACACAUGUACGGAGUAUACAGCACGCCCGUCGCGUUCGCGUCGCACCCCAGACGGUCGGUCGGUCUGGCACGCCGCUCUCCGAAUGGAACGCGCGUCAUAUUGCGUUUGCACACACAUGUGGGACCGCAAUUGAGAACCGUCCAUAGGCACACUCCCCGGCCCCGCAAGUUGGGUGAGUUAAUAGAAGAGAGAGACGAGCGAUAGUACUACUAGAGAAGUGUUGUAGGAGUACAUACGUUGGUACCUGGACGAUCCCUGCAAGACACGGAAGAUCAGUUCGUCCAUGCAUGUGACCAGACUCCAGCAGACACGCUUGGAUUGGCUAUCGUCUACAUAUCGUGCAGGCUGUGUUGUACAGGGCUGUAGUUCUGGUGAGAAAUCUAAAAAAGGUUUCUUGUCAUCUCGCAAAAUUAGGUGUCAUGUGCUUCGGAUCACUGCGAGGGUUAAACAACGACAACUGAGUUGGGCAAGUAAUUGGGGGCACAUGCACGAAGACUACUUGGCUGCCAUCUAGGUCAAGCCGGCUAUGUUAAUUAGGACACCCAUCGACGGACCCCUUUUCUACGAGUUUAUCUUUAAUUUGAGCUUUGAUCCUCGUAUAGUUUGUCCGUCGGGAUUCAUCUUGUCUCCUUUGGGCAGUGAGGUUAUGAUUUCUUGACAUGUGGCAUUUUUUCGUGUUAUAUGUUAUAAUCCGGUGCUUCAUAUCAAAAUGAUGACAACUGUGCCUCCGGGGCACGUGCAUGAAGACUUCUCGACAGUCAUUGCCGAGGUCAAGCCGGCUCCGGCCGGUAGACAAAAGAAAACUAGUACUCCACUAUAUAGGCAGGAGCCUCCGCGCUUGCUUGCUAGUGUUGCUCUCUUCACACUGUCUCGUCCUCUCCAGAUCUAAACACGACAGCGGUGGCCACACUCUCUCUCUCUACUCACCGCUGGUCACAGAUCCAGCCGGAUCCUCUCUGCCGGGGAAGGUGAGAAGGUGCAACGUUCACGCGGUCGUCCUCGGCGACGGCUUUUACCCACUGCCGGCGCAUCCCGAUUAGCGUGCCUUGCCGUUCUCUCCCAAGCAUCGCUGGCGAGGGAGAGCCUCCCACCCCUUCUUCCUCGAUGCCGUAGUGUGGGCAGAUCCGGCCUCCCGCCGCCCACCUAGCGACAUCCCGACGACCCUCAGGUAUAACUUCCUUCGAAACAGGCCUUGCUCUACUUCCCGAGCUCCUGACGUCGCUGCAUUUGUAUCUUUUACUAUUUCUCAGGCCCCCUCGUGUAGAUAGGAUCGAUCGGCUGUUCGAAAACCACCUAUUUUUUUACUGUUAAGAGGUAAAACUAGUUCAUGCACUCGAAUCUAGUAGUACUUGUGAAAGGGCAUGUAGCCCCUAAGUGUGGUUUUGGUAAUUGAAUGACAAUCUCUAUGGACUAAUGUUUUCAGUGAGAUAUAUUUGAAGGUUUUGUCCAUAGAUGGUGCCUCAAGGAUAUUGGAUGGAAUCAAGGAUGAAGUCCAUAUAUAUGAAGAUAAUGCCUCAAGGAUAUUGGAUGGAAUCAAGGAUGAAGUCCAUAUAGAUGAAGUUAUAUUUGCUCUAAGCUUUGGUAUUAAAUGACAAUUCCUAUGGAGCAUCAAGUGCAUUGGAUCUUAUAUGAAGAUAUGUUCCAUAGUGAUGCUUGAAGUUCUUUGGGUUGUUUUGUGAAGAUUGCGAUCAAAGCAUUCGAAGAAGUCCUCAUGGUAUCCCUCUCUGGAUACCCCAUGCACACGGGCUUAUACCGUGCGCACGGGGUCGAGUGUCAACUCUCUGGAUACCCCGUGCUCACGGGGCCUAGGUGUUGGCUCUCGAGAUUCCAUAUCCAGCGAGGUUUCAAGUUGGUCUUCUGAGGAUCAAGGCUUGAGAGAAUAAUCAAAGAGAAGAAUUCGAGUUAUGGUUUCAAGACAAGAUCAUGGUGAGCUCAUGUGUUGGGCUUCGGUUGAUCAAGCCUUGAAGCAAGCAACUAGAGUGAAGAAUUCAUUAUGCCUCUCAAGACAAGAUCAUGUUGAUCAAGUCUUGAAGCAAGCAACUAGAGUGACGAAUUCAUUAUGCCUCUCAAGAGUUUGGGAUGGAGUUUUUAGAAGGGCAAGUGGUGACCAAGAUGAUAUUCAUAGUGGAACUUGAUAUGGUCAUGAAAGAGUCUUUGGUGAUAUUGUCUUGAAGCAAUGAAGUGAAAUGAAGAGUUCAUUGUGGCUUUCAAGAAACCAAGAUGGAGCUUGAAGUAAAGAUGUUGGUUGACCAAGAUGAAGCUCGAAGAGUAUAUCUAAGUGGUCAACUCACAAAGCACAAACAAUGUACCACGUGAGAUCAAGUGAUCUAGUGGUAUGGUAAGUAAUUGUGAAUUGUGCUUUGUUACCUAACCCAUGCUAUAUGUUUGUUAUGUCUAUGUGGGUUAGGUGUUUCUCAUAGGCUUGCAUCAAAAGGAAAGAUCUCGUGUAGCCUAUGUGUGGAUGACAUCAAGUGGUGAUGGUCAUCGGAUUCGAGGAGUCCAAGUGCAAGAUGAGAUGACAUCAAGUGGUGAUGGUCAUCGAGUUCGGGGAGUCCAGGUGCAAGAUGAGAAGCCAGAGGUUAUAUGCUUUGAAGCUUGCGGUCCACAUCAUGAUAAUGUGCAUGUGAAGAUGGGCUUGAGAUAAGGCUUCCCUCAUUGCAUCAUGAGGAAGCAAUUCGAGUAUCUUCACCAAGUGGUCGUGGACAAGAAAGGGAUUUCAACUUGAGGCAAGCAUUAAAGUCAUCAUCAAGCUUAAGUUGAAUGUGCAAGGCAAAGGUAUACCUUAGCUAGGUUUUCCUAGUUUUGCCGAUCUGAUAGUGCUUGGUGGGAGACCGGAUUAUAGGUUUGAUAGCCGUACUAUCAAGAGGGACUCUCGGGCAAGUAGCUUGAUCACGUCGCAUGUAGAGAGUUCAAACCUUUGCAUUACUUGCAUCAUUCUUUCUUGUUGAUCUUGGGUGGUUCUCUAUGUGAGGACCUUGGGCUUUUCCAUAGCUUCAAAACGAGCCCAAGAUCAUCGAAUUCGGAGUCCGUAUGCCCAAGUUAUCGAUGUUUUAGUGGGCUGCUGCUGGCUGUCCUGGGGACCCCGUGUGCACGGGGUCCUUGACCCCCGUGCGCACGGGGUGUCCAGAAUUCUGGGUACUCCGUGCACACAGGACCCCGUGCACACAGGGUCUCAACCCCCGUGCGCACGAGGUGCCCAGGAAAUGCCCGUUGGAGCCCCAACGGCUAGUUUCGGAGUUUGGCUAUUUAAGGGCCCUUUCCUCCCACCGGUUGGGGGUUGGUUCACACACAUUCUAAACACCAUUUUGAGCCUCUCUCCACCUCUCCCAAACCCCUAUCUCCCCUCUAUGUGAAGGGGGAUUUGUGGAUGGAUUAGUGAGCCAUUUGUUGAUCAUAUCCAAAGCAUCCCCUCUCUUCAAUCUCCUACUUUCAAGAGUGCAUCUUCUGAGAUUGAGAGAGUGAGUUGAGCAUUUGUUGCUUGACCUUGCAUUGCAUUUGUUGCAUUGGUUUGAGCUCCCUGCAUCGAUUUGUUCGAGUGUGAGCCCAUGAGUUUAUUACUCUUGGAGGCCUCCGCCUCCUAGACGGUUUGGUGAUACAUUGAGAAGAUUGUGAAAGAGGCCUAUGUGGCCAAGGUUCCCCCGGAAGCUUCCUCUUGUGGUGUGCUCCGGGGAAGGGUGUUGAAGUGGCCUAGGUGGUCAAGUUCCUCCGGAAGCUUCCUUGUUUGUGGUAUGCUCAGGAGAAGUUUGUAAAGGUGUGGUGGUCGCCUUCAAGACCAACCCCAAGUGAAUCGAGGCUCAUCCGUUGGGGGUGACUCGAAAAGGAGAAUACGGUGAGUCACUUGGUGAUGCCCCGGAGCUUUGGCUUCGGCACCGCUCUAACGGAGAUUAGCACUCUCACGAGUGUGAACUUGGGGAUAAAUCCGCGUCUCCGACUCACUUGUGGUUAUCUCUUACCCACACCCUUUACUUACCGCAAUUCAUACUUGCUCAUAUUGAUAUAUCUUGUGCUAGUUGAAUUGCUUAGUUGCUCCUACAUUUCCAUAUCUUGUGAUAUAGUUUGUGCUUGCUAGUUUCCUUAAGUGCCUAUCUUGUUUAGCAUAGGUUGUUGGUGCACUUAGUUGAGCCUAGCAUAUUUAGGAUUUGUGCUUGAAAGGUAUCCGUUUAGUUUAAUUCCGCAUUAGGAUAAAGCCAAAUCCGUAACAGUUUUAAAACGCCUAUUCACCCCCUCUAGUCGUCAUCUAGAUCCUUUCAACUUGGUUCAAACAAGUAAGAAAGGGGGUGGGGGAAGAUUUGUUACCUGAAUCUAGGACUUGGUCGAAAGAGGAAAUAAUGGGGGCGAAAAGUAGCAGAGACUGGCUAUCCAACUGGUCUCUAGGUCUAAUAGGGAAAUAAAGGGAACACAGUACAAACUCAAUAUAAACCCGGUCUAUUGGUUGAAAAAGGAAAGAAAGUGGGGACUGGGGGACAAGUCAACAGAGUAAGUCCAGCACUAGAUUUGCUAGCCUCACACAGUAUAAGGUGGCUAUAUACCGAACAAAAAUGGGACCAACCUAGAUAUCCUCUUCUGAUGUUUGUUGCCCCGAGCCACUCUUUUGUAAUGCCACUGGUAAAAUGUAGCAGUCGCACUGUUAAAAGUAAGGACACAUUAAACCAAUGUUGUUUUCAAUGUAAUGCCUCCAGUAAUAUGAAUCAAUGGCACUUUGUUUCAUGUCCUGCUAAAUUUCCCAUUAAGAUAAGUUGCUUCUUUUCCUUAGAGAUGCAACUGUCCUGGUCCGCCUACUCUCUAGGAGCUUCACAACCAACCUUGAUGUUGCUCAAUUUUAUUGCAACUAAUGAAGAAGAAGCUCUGUGGGUUUCAUUUUCUGAUGGAAAUGGAACCGGGGCUGGAGCCCUUUUCUUAAAAAAGAAGAAGAAGAAGCUGCUAGCUCAUGGGACAUUGCUUCAUUUUAGGUGAACUGCACCAAAAGGUCCCAUGAAUUGAAUCAUCCAUGUUGGUGACUGGUGUCAUCCCUUCUACGAUGACGUUGACUGCAGAUAUGGUUCCCAUCACGAGGUAUGUUCCUUUUUGGUCUGACCAUUUGCCAAAGAUCCUGCAUGUUGAUCCUGCUCUUGUGCUACUGUUUUGGCACUGCCAUGAUAAAGCAGUAAUGUUAUUAUUUUUCACCUUAAUCUAGUGGCACUAUUAAUUUGAGCACCGCUAGUGCCACUGUUUUUUAUAUAUAUCGAAAGAGGGGGUUCCCUCCGAUUUCAUUAAAGAAACCCAACCAUAGAGAACCAUUAUCCGACAACAUCUCAGUGUAAACGGGCAGUUAUGCAACUACUACUAGAACGGACUGAGUAGAGACAAGUUCGCCACAUAAGCUAGGCAGGUAGGGGGACGCAGCACCAGCUCGACCUAGUUUGGAUUACAACCCAAAUGCUACCACAGAAACAUCAGGGGGAAGAUAGGGACUGAAAGAGCCAGCUUCAGCAUCCCAGUCUAAGCACCCCCGGCCUUCAUCCUUGCAACGCAUGGUACACCUUGUUUGCCACCUGCUCGAACCUAGUGUCACUGAUAAAAUGAAGUAAUAAUACAGUUAAAAUAGAGCGAGUGUCCUCUCUAUCAUUUCAUUUCCAAUGUAGAUAAAGAAAGUGCUUCUCUUUGUUAAUGUAUGUUUCAUCAACUAGUCCCAUUGUUAAUGUUUAAGCGUUUCUACAAACUGGGGUGCUUAAUUUUAGUUGAUCUGCACAAAAAUAGAGAUUUGAAUGUCUCAAGGCCCCUCCUUGUACUACCGUUGUACAGUGAUGUUCAUCACUGGCAGAAGGUGUAUCGGGGAGACUUGGGUCGAUUUCCAGUAUGAUGUAAUAUUUUCUUCUAUUUAUUAGUGUAUGUUUCAUCAACUAGUGCCACUAUAAUGUAAUCACGCCUUUUCAUUUUCUGUGCAAACAGGGUUAUUCAGCUGCAUUUUGGUGGAACUGCACAAAUGUACGGAUGGAACCGACAUAUAUGCAGAGUGCGAGGUGCCAAGUAAAAAUUACCGACACCAACCCUGCUCCAUCUAAGCAUUGGCGUCCACCACCAUCAGUGGGAUGUGUGGCGCUCACUGUGGACGGAUCUUUCUCGGCAGCAAAUCCUCUAACCAAAUACUAGUAGCUUAGACUUUAAAAAAAAUACUAGUAGCUUAUAUUGGCAGUUUUCUAGGGGUGUACCCUUUUCUGAAAGAAGCACCAAUCUAUUUUUAUUUAUUUGUACACAGUGUCACAACUUUGACCCAAAGGUCCAGAGCUAUUUUAGGGUGAUUGGCGUAGUACUCAGAGACUGAUUGUAAGCAUGAUUUUUAUGAGUUGUCACACUGAUUGUAAGCAUGAGCAGAUGGAAGAUUAGGUUAGUGCGAAGCUUACCUUAAACCCUACCGACGCUGUUGAAACAAGGUGAGCGUCUAGGGAACCGUGGAGAACGACGGGGAAGCGACGUCACGCCAUCUGGCCUCCUCUUGCGGUGGGAGAACGAAUACUCCUGUGGCUCCGGCUGGCUCUGCACCCUCACGAACGGCACACCGUACUCGAUCGAUUCGUUAUCCUCUGGGUGCUCGACCUUUGACCUGUACGCCCACCACCUCCGCCUGACUUUUGCCUCGGGCGAAUCUGUCUGCUCCAUCGCCCAGAGGAGAUACUUGAUGAACUCGAAGGACUGCGGCGUGACUGCCGCCGAGGAGUACAUCACCGCCCUCAUCGCCGUCGUCUUGCUCUUUCGCAUACAUUGCCACAUGGCCCUCACCGUCCUCGAAAUCUCCCACUCAUUGUCAAACCAAGUAAGGAUCUCCUUCAACCUGGCUAACUUUGCCUGGUCAUCGCCGGCGAUCUACGUGAUUCGCUGCUGCAUCCUCUCCAUAGAUGUCCUUCUGAGUGGUCCGGUGCUAGCUUUGGAAGAUGGGAGGAGAGACGGUGGUCUUGCAAUAGAGAAGAGGGAGAGGCGAGACGGUGGUUUUGGAAUGGAGAUGAUGGAGAGGAGAGGGGGUGGUUUUGAAAUGGAGAAGAGGGAGAGGCAAGACGGUGGUUUUGGAAUGGAGAUGAUGGAGAGGAGAGGUUCCCCUGCCUUUCGGUCGCUGACAGGUGGGCCCCACGCUUGGUGGGACCCAUGUGUCAGUGUCUCAAUGGCAGGAUGGGCUACGUCAGGGGAUCCUCGUCUGAGGAGAGAGGAGGUGGUUUUGCAAUGGAGAAGAGGGAGAGGCGAGACGGUGGUUUUGGAAUGGAGAUGAUGGAGAGGAGAGGAGGUGGUUUUGCAAUGGAGAAGAGGGAGAGGAGCGUGCGACAGCGAUUUAGGAUUGGACGAGAGGGCCGGCGCGCUGUGACUGGAUCAAAAUCAAAAUCAAUUUACCCUUCAAUUAAGAAAGCGACCCCACAUUAACUAGUCUCCCUUUUAUUCUGGGUCAUAAUUAACCAUGAUUUCCGCAAAUAAAAUAUAUGUUAUACGUUGCAAAAAUAAUAUAAUUUGAAAGUACAUUCAGAUACGAACCAAACGAUACAAUUUUUGGUGACAUGCAUUCACAUUUUGCUUGUCAAAUACAGUACAUGGUCAAACUUUGACCCAAAAUACGCAAAACAAAAAAAUUACUUCCAAGACCAGCGCCGCUCUUCCGCUCUUCUCCUCUUAAACCACCGCCGCUCCUCUCCUGUUCCAAUCUAAAUCCAGCGCCGCUCCUCUCCUCUUCCAUUUCAAAACCACCGCCCCUCCUCUCCUGUUCCAAUCCAAAACCAGCGUCGCUCCUCUCCCGUUCUAAACCAAAACCAGCGCUGCUCCUCUCCUCUUCCAUUAAAAAUCCACCGCCGGCGAGUGAAGGUGUUGUGGAGAAGUAGAUCGACGGAGGAGUACAACCGAUACGUGAGGAUCGCAGACGGCGACCCUGUGAAGCUAGCUAGGAUGUUGGAGUACAGUCUUGGUUUGACAACAAGGACCAACUAGCGGCGACGGCGACAUCCAUGGCCAAAUAUCUGCAAUAGAGCGAAAAGGCGGUGAUACUCCCGGAGGGAGUCGCGCGGGAGUACAUAGAGCUGCUCCUCUGGGCCAUGGAGCAAACAGAUUCACCGAAUCCGAUCCUGAGGGAGCGGUGGUGGGAGUAUCGAUCCCAAAUGGAGCAUCCACCAGAGAUUGAAGUAUCGAGCAUCUGCAGGGUGCCGUUUGUGAGGGUGUCGUGCCAGAGCGAGCUGGUGGAGUCUUCGUCGACCGAACCCAACUACAAGAGGAGAAAAACAGUUUGCCCAACGACGCUUCCCUGCCAUCCUCUCCCUCGCCGUUCACAUCGUCUCACGGGGCGGCUGUCUGCCGCCUAGGAAUAGGAGGGAUUGCCCCCCAGACCAAUAGUCGGGCAGGUUGUGAAUUGUCAGGAGGAGCUUAGGGUUGUUAGUAUUUGCAGGUUGUGAAUUGUGUUUUGUGUUGUGUAUUUUGAGAGUACUUUCAGAUAUGAAUGUCUUUUGAAUUUUAGAUUUGCGGUGUUGAGCAUAUGAAGUAUUUUAUGAAUUCUAGAGAUCUAUUUUUAGCACUUAAAAAAAUGUAGUUUCAUAGGAGUAUAAAAGUGCAGACAAUGUGAUUCUCAGAGAAGAAACUGCAAGUUUCAGUUUCAGAUAAGAAACUCCAAGUUCAGUUUCAGAUAAGAAACUGCAACUUUCAGAGGCAGAGCAUUUAUAUUAACACGGCCUUUUCAAACAGUGUUAACAUCAUGCUGGAAGUUUUAUUCAUGGUCGAAACUGGAACUACCAGCCAGUUAACAUCAUGCUGAUCAACAUUCAUGCAUAGCACAUCUUCAUAUGAUGCACAGUCAAAAAUAUAUGCUAUUUUCAAGAUGCCCACACAAUGUCGAGUGUGCGAAAAACAGAGAAAACGAGGGACGCCGCUGUCUACCAUUGUGAACAUGCUGAACAAACGAGAGGAAUCUGGAGAGGACUGUACGUGGAGAGGCGGACAGUCGGAACCCAGCAGGUCUAUGGCCGUACGUUAGCAAGUGCCUCAUCGAAAAAAUACUUCCUCCUAAUGCUAUACUGACGUUGGGGCCCAUGGGUUUGUCAACAUAGUUACAUUUUUAGGUGCUUCAACGUAGUUACUAUAGGAGAUAAAUUCACAACGAAGCCGGGGAGCUGGCAGGUAUCAUUUAUUAUCACUGGGGCAGCAAGUAUCAGCUGGGUUUUGGGCUGCCCCGUAUAGGCUUUCUUUUUUAACAUGUGCAGCCCACGACCUCGGAUGGGAGGUCCAUAGGCCUGUUUGUAUUUUCUUGAGGGUCGUCAUGUAUCGACCGGCCUAUGGACCUCCCAUCCGAGGUUUUAUUUUUCCUGAAACAUCGGCAGCCCAAUUUAUGUAUUUUUUUGAAGAAAACGCAGAGGCCUGUUCAAUUUUUCUAUAUAAGAAUAGGAACGCCUGGUCCAACUUAUGUUUCCCUACUAACUAUAUUAUAUAUAUUUAAAUUAUUUUAUAUGUUAUUAUAUAUUAUUGUUAUUGUCAUCAUAUAUUUAACAGAUACUUACAUAUGUAAGAAAACAAUAUCCCACAUCUUAUUAACUUAUAAAAAUAAUUUCUUAACAAUAAAAUCCUGGAUUUUUUUGGCAACGAAAAUCCUGGUGAUUGUGUACAAAAGCUUGGUAAGAUUUAAGGACCAAUGUAAUAGUAAAUCACUUAUUUUAUAUAUAUAUAUAUAUAUAUAUAUAUAUAUAACAAAAUGCUCAGCCCCUGUUUAUUUUUUGUUAACAUUGCUGCGCCCACCCCAACAUUAUAACUAGAAUAAGCCCAGCAAAAUUGUGUACAAAUGGCCUGUAAUUUUUUAGGAAAAACAUAAAUGGGCCGCAGGAUGCUAUAUUAUUUGUUCACCCAGCCCAGCUAAUGGACUGUAGUUCAAAAAAAAAAGAGAUCAAAUGGACUGUAAAUUCUACCCAGCAAAAAAAGACUGUAAAUUCUGAAAAAAUGGGUUGAAUACGUGCCACAUUUUUGGAGGCUGAAAUGUGGGCCAAUAGGUCGAAGCUAAUGCAAGUCGUUGUCAACUUAGUCAACAAAUGAUUCUGACAUCGUUAGCCGUUGGAUUUACAUCCAACGACCGGCAUCCAUCUUCAAUCUCUCGUCUUCUUCCUCCAGCGCCACCGGGACCACCUGCUCCCGCCUCCUGCUGCUAGCAGCUCUGCUUAGCACGCUUCGCUGUGAAGCGCUACUCCACCGUUGGCCAGGCCAUCCCUCCACCCCUCCACACCUCCUGUUCUUCUCCACCGACUGCCGAACCACACCGCACCAGAACCAGUUAACCCUCGUACACCUCUCCGUCUGCGACUCUACUCCCGCGUCUUCCCAUCUCCGGCUCGUUGCUGUCCGGGGCCUCGCCGUCCUCCACCACCUUGGAUGCGCUCGGCGCGGCCUGGUCAACGUGGUCAACGAACGACACCAUCGGAAGUAGACUGUGCGUGGAGAGGCUGACAGCUGGGUCCACGGCCGCACGCAAGGAAAUGCCUCCUUAUUACGUGCAAAAUAAUGAUUCCUCCACCUGACAGCUGGGACCCACCGAAAGGGCCUCUGUAUUUCGCGAAAAACGUUCCCACCGCUGACAGGUCGGACCCACCAGCUAUAUCUUCGCACGCAAGGAAGUGCCUCCUUAUUACGCACAAAAAAAUGAAUACCCCCUGCUAGCUGGGACCCACAAUAGUGGGAGGCUGACUUGUGGGCCAAAUAAGUUGACGGGGACGGAGGGCUUUGUCAACUUAGUCAAUAUGCACGAUUCUAGCUCCAGUGACCAUACGAUGUCCAUCCAAUGGCCGUAGUGCUUCUUCAACCUCUGGUCUUCUUGCUCCAGCCGCCCAAACCAGCGCCGGUCGUGCCUCGUGCUCCUGCCUCCCGUGGCGGGCUGCGAUGCGACGGAGGCCUCACCGCCCCUACUACUCCCACCGCUGGCAAGGCCAUCCCUCUACUCACCCACAGCCCCUGUUAUUCUACGGCGACGGCAACCUCACACCGCAGUCAGUGAACCCUCAUACUCCUCUAAGCGUGGGCAUCCACUGCCGCGUCUUCCCCGGCUCUGCGUCGCCCCCUUCCUAGGCCUCGCCGUCGUCCACCGCCCUGGUGCUCUCGGCGCGGCGUGGUCAACGUGGUCAAGGAACAGCUUCCAUCGGACGUGGACUGUACGUGGAGAGGCUGACAGCUGGGUCCACGGCCGCAGCAAGGAAGUGCCUCCUUAUUACGCGCAAAAUAAUUAUUCCUCCACCUGACAGCGGGGACCCACCGGACGGGCCACCGUAUUUCGCGAAAAAAACGUUUCCCCCUGACUGCUGGGACCCACCAGCUACAUCUUCGCACGCAAGGAAGUGCGUCCGGGCAAAAAAAAACCAUUCGCCCCCCUGACUGCUGGGACCCGCCGGCUACAUCUUCGCACGCAAGGAAGUGUCUGACAGUUGGGACCCACCUGGUCGAAGCGUACGUAGCGUUGUCAUUCUGGUCGCGAACGUGUACGUACAUACUGGUCGACAUAGAGGCGCGCAGGUGUCGUAGUAGAGGCGCACAUGUAGCAUGUACACGUACGUACAGCGGCCAGGGUGCAAGAAAGUAAAUACGGCCACGUACGUACAUAUGGGCGGGGUCUCGAACGCCUACUCGCGCGUACGUACGACCAGGGCUCGUGUACAUGGCUGGGUCGGAACGAAGAAACAGCGUCGUCGUCGUGUUCAUGGGGAGGCAACGGAAUGCGUCGUGUUCAUCGGGAGGCAACGGAACGCAUGGGAGCCAACCGCCUUGGACGGAACAGCCGAUGGAAACGAGGCCUGGCGUACCACAGAACGAAGGAAACGGCCUUGUGUUUGACCGACCACGUUUGAAACGAGAUCCUAUUCAUCGAGAGGGGUCUGGCGUACCGCAAAAUGGAGGAAACGGACCUCCUACGGUCGAAACGGGGGUCCUAUUGAUCGGGAGGGGUGUGGCGUACCGCAAAACGGAGGAAACGAACUUGUGUUGGAGCGCUACGGUCGAAACGGGGGUCCUGUUCAUCGGGAGGGGUGUGGCGUACCGCAAAACGGGACUCCACGGGAUACUGUUCAUCUCCACCGUUGACCCCCUCUAGCCUCCACGGGCUACUGUUCAUCCACCGUCGACCUCCUCCAGCCUCCACCUGCGACCGUUCAUCCACGGGCUCCUGUUCAUCCAGCCUCCACCGCGCGCUACUCCACCGGCUACUCUUCAACCAGCCCUCUCCACGGGCUACUGUUCAACCAACCCUCCACGGGCUACUGUUCAUCUAGCCCUCCACUGUCUACUGUUUAUCCUGCCCUCCACGGGGUGGUCCUGUUCAUCCUGCCCUCCACGGGGUCCUGUUCAUCCAGCCCCAACCAGCUCGAACGAUCGGGGUCCUGUUCAUCCAGAGGCAACGCCACGGGGUCCUGUUCAUCCACCCCCACCGGGAACUGUUCAUCCAAACCCCCCCAGCAACGCUCACUGUUCAUCCAGAGGCAGCAUCGAUUGGCUUCAGUUAGCACCAGUAGCGAAGGAAUCGCUCGAUCGGGUUCAGUUAACAGCCAUCGAUCGAUCGCUCGGGUUCAGUAACGCGUAGCAUGCAGUGCAAUCGCUCGGGUUCAGUUAGAGCCCAACGCCUCGCUCAGGUUCAGUUAGAGCCCAAUGCCUGGCACCCACGUGCGUGUGUGUACGAGAGAAACGCGCAUCGCUCGGCCCCGACCACCCACCGUAACCAGGAACACCCCGAUAUUUUCCUCGCCCUCGCUUCUACCACGGUUUUUUCCGUCAUGGACGGCCCAAAGCAUGUCAUGCAGCUGCGUCUCCAGCCUGCCCAGGACGAAAAGCCCAUUUUCUGUCAUGAGUUUUUGUCAUAGAAGUAGGACCCCACCACAUCUAUGAUGAUACCGGAUUUUGUCACAAUUAUCGUCAUAGAAGUGUCAUAAGUAUGACAGAAAAAAGUUCGUUCGGCCCAAAAUGUCACGGAUGUGUCUUUUUUUGUAGUGUUGGCCUCGGCCCCGAUGACCACUUAGGUCUGGACGACGUCGACGGCUCCAGUUCGUACUACUCCAGCGCAGACGACGAGGAUUUGGAGGAGGAGGCCGCGAUGUCCAUGGAGGACAGGGUGAAGCUGGCAGAGAUAUGGGUGGCCAACCCUAGUAGUAGCCAUCAGUGGACCAGUGGAGCUGCUGGCGGCGUGCUGUAAGUCGUUCUCUUCUCUGCUUCUUUCUGUAUAUUCCAAAACAGGGGGCUAGGGUUAGUGUUGCUCAUGACAUGUCUAAAUUUGUGCUGUCAAUUGUAGUUUGGAUGAUGCUGUUUGGGAUGUUCGGAUUCAUUUCGAUGCACAACACAAUCUGGAUAGUAAGAUAUGCAGCUCAGAUGUGAGAUUUCCGAACUUAUAUGCACUGAUGCACACACAAGGUUAUUCCUUCUCUGAUGAACUGUACCACAUGAAGAAUUUAGGCAGAGGAGAGGAAAGAGAGCAUGGGUUAGAGUUAAUUAACACAAACAUCAAACUGCAGCAACUUAAGAAGGAAUAUGAGCAUAGUUUAGUUCUGAAUUUGCUAGUGAGGGCAACAUCACCUUUUGUAUGUAAGAUAGAAGAAGAUUUAGUGAGAUCAAACUACAACAAUGUCUGUCAGAGGAGAGAAGAAAAUUUAGCAACUAUAUUGUAUGAACCACCUUUAGUGUAUGAUCUCAGUGAGCCUGCAGUUCUUGCUGUAGAUAAAAAGGUGUUGUUUUUCAUAGUCAGUGCACACAAGAGAGCAGAAAUUUCAGUAAGGGGAAGCUCAAAGCUGUAAUGGAGGAAGAGGCACUGCUAGAGGAGGGACAUAAUAACAGUGAUGACUCUAAGGCUGCUGCAUAUGACAGUGAUAACAAUCCUUUCUGCAUGGAGAAGUACAGGAUAAUUGAAUACACAGAGAUAAUUGAGGGGAAUAAACUAGCAGAGCAAGAAGUUGAAGAUGAAGAUUCAGAUGAGGAUUCAGAAGAGGAACAAUUACAUUAUGAGGGUGACACUGAGGUUGAGGACUUGUUUGAGAUGGAGGAGGAGGAGGAAGAGCAGGAGAAGGUGGAUGAGGUCAAUGUUGUUGCAACAGAAGAAGCACCAAUGCAAAAACCUGCAAAAAGAGGAAGAAGCUGGUAGUUAGGAGAGGCCCUACUACUAGGACACAUUCAAGUGUGUUGGAGGAGGUGCAACCUGAUUUCAUUCCUUCAUCAGAUGAAGAAGAUGAUGGGUUGCUGUUUGAGGAUGAAGAUGAUGGACAUGAGCCAUUGUCAUUUGUUCUACCUAAAGGGAGGAAGAGUAGGGCCAAGAAAAGGAAACCAAGGAUCUGGUACAAUGACAAACUUGAGCAACCACAUCAGCAGUUAUGUCUGUACAUGUGCUUCAAGAAUCAUCAGCAAUUCAGAGAUGCUUUGUUGAUCUUGCACAUCACACAUGCCAGAGAUUUCAGGUAUCAUAGAAAUUCAGACCAAAGGAUCAUUGCCUGUUGUAAGCAAGAGCACUGCCAGUUUUGCAUAGUUGCUGCAGUUAUCAAAGGGGAGAAGACUUUUGCUAUUAAGAAGAUAAGGCUGGAGCACACUUGCCCUAGCAGCACUGAGACAUCUAGGAUUAGUGCCAAGUGGCUUGCAAAGACCUAUGAGUCAUUGUUCAGGUCUGAUCCAACCACCAACAUACACACUCUGAUUGACAACUGCAAUGAGAAGUAUGGUGUUGAUGUGCCAAGGCACAUGGCCUAUAGGGCCAAAAACCUUGCUGUGGAAGCUGUGCUAGGAGAGCACAAGAAGCAGUAUCCCAGGCUUAGGGAUUAUGCUUAGACCAUCAUGGAUUCAAACCCUGGUAGUAGAGUUGUAGUUGCAACAGUUACUCCAAGACCAACUACAAAAAUACCACAUCCAGGACCAAAGUUUCAUGCUAUGUUCUUCUGCAUAAAUGGAGCAAGGGAGGGAUUUCUCAAUGGAUGCAGACCAUUCAUUGGUUAGUAAUGCUUUAUAGUUCUUUCUCAAUGGAUGUAGUGGUGCUUUAUAGUUCUUUAUACUUAAAUAUAUAAUUUAUUAAUGCUUUGUAGAAGUUUAAAUUAUUCUUUGGUUGCAACAACAGGUGUUGAUGGAUGCUUUAUUAAGCUCACCACUGGUGCUCAAAUCCUAGCUGCCACUAGAAGAGAUGGGAAUAAUAAUAUUUUCCCACUUGCAUUUGCUGUUGUUGGACAAGAGGACACAGCUAACUGGUGUUGGUUUCUACACCAACUGAAGAUAUGUCUAGGAGGAGAAGUUGGCAAAUUUGGGCCUUAUACUAUCAUGUCUGAUAAACAGAAGGUAUGCAUGCAUCUUUCUGUAUGUUCUUGCCUUUAUGUUCUUCUGCAUUAGCAUGUUAUGUUUUAGAUGUGGUAGUACAACAGCUAAGUCUAGCAUGCUAUGUGAACAGGGGCUACUAAAUGCAGUAAACCAAGUUUUUCCAAACUGUCAUCAAAGAUUUUGCCUUAGACACCUCUAUGCAAAUUUCCAGAAUGCUGGGUUUAGGGGGGAAGAUCUUAAGAAAUGCAUGGAUAAUGCCAGCUAUGCUUAUAACCAGCACAAGUUUAACAUUGCCAUGAAUGACUUGAAAAUGAGAGUGAGGAAGCUUGGAAGUGGCUAAGUGGAAUACCUAAGCACACAUGGGCUAGGCAUGCUUUUGACACUAACUGCAAGACAGACUUGGUUGUUAACAACCUGUCUGAGGUGUUCAACAAGUACAUCCUAGAUUUUAGGAAAAAACCUAUUAGGACCAUGAUUGAUGGUAUUAAGGACAAGCAGAUGGUGAGGUGGCAUAGAAACAGAGAGAGAGGAAAGGCAUCUCUGUGGGAGAUCACACCACAUUAUGCUGAGAAGCUUGAGGACAAGGAAAGGGCCAGAUUCUGCAAACCUAUUCAAGCUGGUGUAAAUCUUUGGCAAGUGACCAGUGGGCAGCAAACACAUGCUGUAAACUUGCAAGUUUAGACAUGUGGCUGCAGAAAGUGGGACCUGUCUGGCAUACCAUGCAACCAUGCAAUAUCAGCAAUUAACAAGGCAAAAAGAUUUCCAGAGGACCAUGUCUGCAAUUUCUUCAAAAAACAUUUUUACCUUGCUGCAUAUGAACCAAUGAUAUAUCCAGUUCCUGGUGAACAUGAUUAGACAAGGACAAGUGGACCAAACAUAGAGCCACCCAAAUUUCAUGUGAAGAAGGGGAGAAGGAAAGAGAAGAUAAUAAAGGGCAGAUUUGAGGUUACAAAACCAAAGGACAGUUCAAGAAUGGCCACUAUAACAUGCAGCAACUGUGGGCUCCAAGGCCAUAGGUACACCAACUGCAAGCAACAGUUGAGACCAGAGUUGGCUAUGAGGAAAAACAAGCAUGUGGUAAACCCUUGUGAAUUGUACUUGCUAAUUGUUCUUCUUUCCUUCUAUGUUUUUUGUGCUAAACCUUUGUGACUAACUAGCAUGUUUCCUUGUAUGUUUGCAAGGCACCUGCAAGAUCAAGGAAUGAAGAUACUCCAUCAGGAUCACAUCAGCCACCAGCAAGGUUUGCUUCUGCAAGAUCUGCUAGUGCAAGAUCUGCUACUGCUAGAUCUGCUACUGCAAUAUCUACUUCAAGAUCUGCUAGAGGGUCAGCUAGUGCAAGUGCAAGAUUUGCAAGGCCUUUCACUGCCCCAAGAUUUGCUGCAGGAGCUUCAUCUUCUGGUCCUUCUACUUCUGGUGCUCCUUCAAGUGUCCCAGGGAAUUAUACUCGCUUGAUGUCAUUCUUUACUGCCAGUGGUAACACUUGAGUGAGAGAAUGUUGCUACUUUUGGUCUGAUGGAGUACCAGAAGAUGUGAACUAAGUUAGUUGUGCUACAAAACUGAUGUAUGUUCUAAUGGAGUACUAAGUUGAGUCUGAUGUGAACUAAGUUAUUUGUGCUACAAACCAUGUAUUUUCUAGUCAUUUGUGGACAUAUCAUGCUCCUGUCAACAUAUUAUGCCUGCAAUAUGUGCAAUAUUUGGUCAUUCGGCACUUGUGAACAACUCAAUGCUUUUUGUGUUGUUCAUUUGGCAUUUGUGAAACAACUCAAUGCUCAUUUGGCACUUGUGAACAACUCAAUGCUCCUGUCAAUAUUAUGUCAAGAAAACAUGCUCAUGUGUCAAGAUAUUUGUUCAUUUGGCUUUUGUGAAACAACUCAAUGCACAUGUGUCAAGAAACCAUGCACAAACUGGAUGAUAAUGCCACAAUGGCCACAUACUUCAUUACUAGGAUGAACAUACCAAAUCUUUUUUACAAAUACACCUGACACAUUACUAGGAUCAACAACAGUAGGAUCAACCCUGACACUAACUUGCAACACCUGACACUAACUUGCAAAGAUCAACCUGACCAAAACUGACAUUAACUUGCAUCUCUCCUUAACAAGGAUCAACCUGACCACAACUUGCAUCUUCUGUGCCAAAACAAGCUUGAGUCUAAACCACUGACCAGUACUAAACAAGCUUACUGCAGCAGCAUCUUGGCUGUCACUAAACCUACCACAAAGACAAGAAAAAGAAAGACAACAUUUUGAUAUUUCUCCUUCAGUGCAUCUAUCUCUCCAUUUUUCUCCUUGAGCUGAUCUUCCAAAGCCACCACCUCUCUUCCUCUUUGAGCUUCAGGCAGAGCCACAACUGCACUGUCAUCUUCAAACACACCAACACUUGAUUCAGCUCUCAGCCUACGCACUUCAUCUCGCAAAUCUCCAAUCAAAUCACUCAAAAACUUCGGCAGAGGAUCAUCAUGCCAUUCAAGGAAGCCACAACCACCAUGUUGUACCAACAGAAAUCAGGGUUUGAGAGGGGAGAAGAUCUAAUGAACAGAAAAGUAGAACAAAAAUGAAACUUACCAUGGCAUCCACGCAGGCGUAGUACCUCCUGCCUGGGUUCUGACGGCUCCAUGAGAUCCAUCUCGGCGCCUUCCUACACGGCCUGCACCAGCAGAGCUUCUCUGGCUCAUACGCCAUCGGGCUCUCACGGUAGGGCACCGGCGACCUCGAUUCGUCCCCUCUCCUUCUAGAGGCUCGACGGAAGCUGGGAGCCUGAGAACGACCCGAAGACCACGACAUUGACAUUUACUUAGACGCAGCCGCCGCCGCCGCCUGCGAGAUUGCCUCCGCCGCCGGCCCGCUCAGGAAUUGCCUCCGCCGUCGCCUAACCCUAGUUUUUCCCCCAAAUGCACAAACUGUUUCCUGUUCGCCCCCGCGCAUUGCUUUAAUAACUAGGGCCACCACUCAGAGCAGUCCCUGUUGACAGUGGCCACGUCAGCAUUUUUUUGCUCUAAUGUUUGAUUUGGCCAGGGAUUCGUUAGUUUACAGGUAUAACUUGAGCCAUCUAACUUGAGCAUUAGCUAAAUAUUUCAUCAGAGGUUCAAGAGGAGAUAUAACUUGAGCAUUAGCUAAAUAACAUAGCAUACUGGAGUUCAACAUAACCAUAGAUUCUUACAGCCAUAAUUACUAGAUUCUUACAACAUUAGCUAAAGACCAUAGCAUAGUGGAGUUCAACAUUGUUCACAACUACUACAUCCAUACAUUACACUUAACUAAACCACCCUUCACAAAAGAUUAGCAAAGCCUUCUAUCAAAGCAACUUAUAUCAUGAUAGGUAUAUGCUCUGCUUCAUCUACCCAGAUCAUCUUCAUCUACCUCAUUCCUUCAAGAUGUCAUGGAUCAACUUCAACUUCUCUUUGCUCUUCUCCAGUGACUUGAACUGCACAACAAGCUGGAGCUUUAACUCAUCCCUGCGUUUUAUCAGAUUCUCAUGUCCCCUCUUGAACUGCACAUUCUCUUCUGUUAGUUCUUUCACAGACUGGGUGAGCUCAUCAACCUGAAUCUUUAAAUUGUUGUUGCCUUCCGCUAGCUUUUCCUUCUCUUUCAAAUGAUUCAUCUUCAGGUUCCUAAUGACACUGCCUUGAGCUUCUACCAGGUUCAUCAGCACUUUGUACUUCUCUUGCAUCUUGAAGUUCUCUGCCUCUUUCUUCUCCAUCUCAUUCUUCAUGGCAGCCACAACUGAUGCAGUGGCAACCUCAGCUCUCUUCUCCUUAGCCUGCACAUAGCUUAAAUCCAACACCCUGUCCUCCUGGGCAUUGAGAAGUUGAUGGACAUCUUCAACUAGUUUGUCAUAGUUGGCAUCCAAAUUCCUUUUCUCUUCUUUAAGGUGGUGGAUAGUAAGUGAACUUUCCAGGUUAUCCUUCCUCCUAGCAGUCCUGCUGUCUUCAAACAUUUCCCAAAGCUUCAACAAUGCAUUUUGCAUUGUGGGAGGCCACUCUGGGUCAACCCAAGCAAGGAAACCGCAAUUGACAGCUUCCUGCAAUAUAGCAAACACUUAUAUUGUUACUCUCUGAAGAAUUACCAUUAUGAAAGGGCACUUUUAAAAAAUCAACUAACAACAUAAGAACUACAACCUAUACAUGUGGCCAACUAAACAAUGCUACUUCAACUGCAACCUAUACUGCCUCAAUUAAAAAUUAGCAUCUACACUGCCUCAAUCAACUAACAGCACAUGCCUACACAACAUGUUGCAGUGAGCUUCAGUACUAAUAAAUAACUAAACUAUGAGCUUCUCCACUGCCAACUAAGCUGCUGCCCAUAUAUAUAUUACAGUGAACAUAAGCAUCAAAACCAUAAUCAUCAGAACUACUAAUAAAUAACUAAACCAUAAAUAUAUUACAGUGAACAUAGCCAACUAAGCUAUUGCAGUGAGCAUGAGUACUAUAAGCAUCAAAACUACUAAAUGGUAAACAAUGUGCUUCAUCAUCAGUAGUAGUAACUAUAUUACAGUGAACAUGAGAGAGCAUCAAUCUUACAGGCUGAGCACAAACUAGAAACCUCCUGCCCAUCUCAAAUGAUUCAAAAGCUACACGACGCUCAGUUAGCAGCCAAUGCUCCACGCAGAGCCCCUCUGGUGCCUUCUCCAAGCCAUUGUAGUCUUGGUCUUCAAUGCUAGCAGGAAUCUACAGGGAGCAAAUCCUCAAAUCAGAAAACCAGAUCAUCAAAUCCCCAAAUCCCCAAAUCACCUAACCCUAACCCUAGCUCUACCACUGACCUAAUAAUGCAUCCCGUCGCCGGAGGAGGAGAUCUGCAGGCCGGACAAGUCAUCGCUGCUCUCAUCCUCGAAGACCAUGGUGCGGCGGCGGUGGCGGACGUGGCGGUCUGCGCGGCGGCGACGGCGGCUGGAGAGACAAGGGCGAUGGGGCGAGGAGAGGGACAGAGUGCGGCUGGCUCCGGUUGGGUUCGACCGGACCCGGCUACAUGGAACGACCGAGACGGGUGCAAGAGUUACCGAGCGGGUGCGCGCGGGUAAGCCACCGUGGCACCUGACACGUGGGCCCGGUAGGCCAGAUACGUGGUCAAUACGCGCUUAUACGGCCGUCAGACCGUUUUGCAACACUUUGGCUUAGAGUUGGUGCUGCAUGGCAAAAAAGUGACUAGUGGUACUGAUUCGUCACAGCGUGCCAAAGUGUGGUAGUUCCUUGCAAUUAACUCAAGUUAUAUGGAUCGGAGGGAGUAAGAUUUUGCACCAAUUCACCCCCUGAGGCCCUAAUGAAUGAGCAGAAGCAGAGGACCUGCUACAUUCCUAAAACAAGAUAUGUGUUUUUUUCUUGAUCAGGAUAUUCUAGGUCGAAUUGGAGGGCAUAUUCCUUCUUUCACUACUAUUGGUUAGCAGUACUGUACUUAUUUGUGAACACAAAAGCCAACCUCUAACCUGAUGCCGAUGUUGCUGGAAAGCAAAAAAGAGGACUUGUCUGAAGGCGGAGAAGUCCUGCCAUGGCAAUGAAACCAAAAAAGAGAACUUGUCUUUUUUUGCGAAAAAGAGGACUUGUCUUGGUGAAGGUCGUAUCUUGGACUUGGAAUAGCUUUACAAAUGCCGGUCAUUCACAUGUAAGACUUGCCAGUCAUCUUCCCCGGAAAAAAGGGGAGAGAGAGAGACUUGUCUGUCAUCUUUCAGCUAGUAUAUACUUUGCUCAUUGCUUCAGAAUUGUAGCUAGUGCUUAAAAUAAAAUCCAUAGCUACGCGCAAUGUGUGAGUAGAGACUGAUCUCAGCACAGGAAACAACGGAGGCAUGGGGCUUGACCGGGGCCAAGGAAGAAGACGGCUUAGAUUAUUCCUCUCGCCGGCUUGCCAUCGUGUCAUCACUCGAUCAUCGUGCCACCCCUGCAUCAGCUAGGUUGCUCGUGCAGGACGCCCCUUAGGUGUUCGCUGAAAUGCCGGCUACGAGUUGCUUGUGCAGGGCAUCCCCGCCACCAUGCGACAGCACCCCUUCACCCGCGAGGGUGUUCAGGAGGUCGUCGAUUACGCAGGUGGGAGACAGGAGAGCGAGCGGGCGAUGGCCGGAGUUAUGCGCGUAGAUUAGGGCCCAGUUCUUUUGCCAGAAUCCGGGGAUUCUCCCAAAAUCCGACCCCUACCCAGCUUCUCCCAGAAUCUUUGAGCCCCGUUUGUUUUACAAUCCCAUCUAAUUAGACCCUAACUAGAUAGGAUUGUGAAACAAAUGGGGCUCAAAGAUUCUGGGAGAAGCUUGGUAGGGGUCGGAUUCUGGGAGAAUCCCCAGAUUCCGACAAAAGAACUUGGCCUAGGUUCCGGAGGAGAAAGAGAGGAAAAAACAAGUGAAUAGGUGGAUGGAGUCGCGGAGAUGACAGAUGACUCUUCUACCAGAAUUUUUUUGUUUAUUGUUUUCUUCGACGAACAACCCACUCUUCUACCAGAUUCUUUUUCCUUUUUUUGUCUUCGACGAACAACCCAUAGCUUCUUAGGGCAUCCGUGUACAUCUGUACGCGCGGUUCGGACGUGUUGUGCCAUCUAACACGGGCAGUGGCGAACCCACCAUUGGGACGAGCUGGGCCCGGGUCGCCAGCGGCGGAGGAUCAACCCCCACUUACAUAUCUUUCCUCCCCGUUUCCUCGUGUAGGCGUCAGAAAGCCUGCGGCGGCGGCGCUGUUCUCUAUUUGUGCGUCGAGGGGUACGUGAGGGCUUUGAGGGAGAAAGAUAUUUGAGCUAGUGGACUGGGCUACAUUUAUUAGUUAUUAUAGCCUACAGGCCCAAAUGCCCAAUCGAUAGGUCUCUCCUCUCAAAAAAAUCCCUUGUCGAUCGAGAAAUCGCGUCCAACUGUUCCCCUUCCGACCUAGCCACUGCCCACUACCGCGGUGUUGCGCCGCCGCCAGAAGCCUCACGCACCCACGCCCACUGCCGGUGAUGGAUUCCGUUGAAGAGGCAGAUUGGAUAGAUGUUGCUGAAGAAGAAGUUAAGGCUGAGGCAUCACUGGUUGUGGCAAGGCCAGUAACUUCGGCCCCCAGUCCGGCAUCGGCAACAGAUGGUGCAGGCAACAGAUGAUUGGCUUAAUGAUUUGAUGGGUUGCUAUGUUGAGCGUAAGAUAUUUGCUAAAAUUAGUGAUAAACAUAUUAUUGUUCUUUUUCAUGCCUUGAAGAGCCAUUGAGGCCAUCUACCUCCACAAUCCCGUGUUCUUUGUGCAAGUACAUCUUAAAGGUAUGCUAUCAUCAUAUGAUCAAAUCAAAAUAUACAACUGCUAUGACACUCCUGCUAAUCCAUUCAUAAUUUUGUAGGUCUCGUUUGGAAUUAUGGGAUCAAUAUUGUGGCAUAAGUAAGGAUUUCAAGCGACAAGAGUAUAUGUUAGUUUAGUGAUUUAAACACUCUUAUAUUACUUACGGAGGGAGUAGUUUUUAAGACCCAUUUUAUUCUUUUGUUGUCGAAUGCUAUGAGUUUUGGUUGAAUAUAGUUGCAUUUGCACCGACAAAAUUUAGACCUUAAAUGUCCGCCCCGGCUAACUUUAAUUCCUGGGUCCGCCACUGAACACUGGCCUCUAUCGGUCUGGGCGCACUUUCUCCCAUAAAGUGGAAGCAAAGUUGGGGCGGAGAGCUUUGCCGGAGUCCGGAGAGCAGCCACGUAGCACUCCAACACCCCUGGCCCCACUAAAUCCCCCUUCCUGUCCCAUUUCUUUUCAAUCAGCCCCUUCUCUCCCUUGCUUUUGCAUCCAUGGGUUGGGGAGGGGGGGGGGUUCUCGUUGGUACCUCAAUGGGUUGGGCGACGGUGGGCGCGGUUCUAAGACUUUUGUUGUGGCACUAGGUCGGGCAUCAAAGCAGGGUUUGGGUUGGGAGUUUGACGAAGAGGGUGAAGAAGAGGUCGACGGCUAGAUCGUAGAGGCGACAUAACGACGUGCGAUGGUCUGCUGAGGAAUGGUGAGCAACCGACAACUAGGUGGGAGAGGCUGGGGGAGGGGAGGUGGCAUGGGAAGCUCGAGCAGGUAGUUAUUGGUGAUAGUGUGAACUGGCCAUGAAGAUCGACCUCGAGGGUGACCCCGUUAACUUCACUGGUACUGUCUAGCGGUUAGUGGGCAGUGGCUUUUGUGGUAGCCCAUCUUCUCAGCCGUCGGGGGAGGCGAUUCUCGUUGGUACCUCAAUGGGGUUGGGUGGCGGUGGAUGCGGUUCCAUCUAGACCUUUGUUGUGGCACUAGGUUGGGCAUCAACGCAGGGUUCGGGUUGGGAGCUUGACGAAGAUGGUGUAGGAGAGGCUCAUACGUCUCCAACGUAUCUAUAAUUUUUUAUUAUUCCAUUCUAUUAUAUUAUCAAUUUUGGAUGUUCUAUAUACAUUUGCAAGCAACUUUAUAUCAUUUUUUUGGGACUAACCUAUUAACUUAGUGCCCAGUGCUAGUUGUUGUUUUUGCUUGUUUUUGACUUUGCAGAAUAUCAGUACCAAACGAAGUCCAAAUGUCACAAAACUUUUUGUAGAUUUUUUUCUGGCAAUAAGAGACCCUGGGAGCUUUGGGAGGGAACGAGAAGACAAAGGAGUGGCCCACUAGGCACCAGGGCGCACACCAGGGGCCUAGGGUGCGCCCUGUUACCUAGUGGGGCCCACAAGCCUCCAUUUAACCUAACUCCGCCUCUAUAAAUUCCCAAUAAUCAGAAAACCUACCAGGGAGUCCACGAAAUACUUUUUCCGCUUGCGCAAGCCUCUGUUCUCGAGAAAUCCCAUCUGGGGACCCUUUCCGACUCUCUGCCGGAGGGGGAAGCAAUCACGGAGGGGUUCUUCAUCAUCCUUGCUGUCCCUCCGAUGAUGUGUGUGAAUGAAAUAUGCCCUAGAGGCAAUAACAAAGUUGUUAUUUAUAUUUCCUUAUAUCAUGAUAAAUGUUUAUUGUUCAUGCUAGAAUUGUAUUAACCGGAAACUUGAUACAUGUGUGGAUACAUAGACAAAACACAGUGUCCCUAGUAAGCCUCUACUAGACUAGCUCGUUAAUCAAAGAUGUUAAGUUUCCUAACCAUAGACAUGUGUUGUCAUUUGAUGAACGGGAUCACAUCAUUAGGAGAAUUAUGUGAUGGACAAUACCCAUCCAUUAGCUUAGCAUAAUGAUAGUUAAGUUUUAUUGCUAUUGCUUUCUUAUGACUUAUAGAUAUUCCUUUGACUAUGAGAUUAUGCAACUCCCGGAUACCGGAAGAAUACCUUGUGUGCUAUCAAACAUCACAACGUAACUGGGUGAUUAUAAAGAUGCUCUACAGGUAUCUCCAAAGGUGUUUGUUGGGUUGGCAUAGAUCGAGAUUAGGAUUUGUCACUCCGAGUAUCGGAGAGGUAUCUCUGGGCCCUCUCGAUAAUGCACAUCAUGAUAUGCCUUGCAAGAAAUGUGACUAAUGAGUUAGUUACGGGAUGAUGCAUUACGGAACGAGUAAAGAUACUUGCCGGUAACGAGAUUGAACUAGGUAUGAAGAUACUGACGAUCGAAUCUCGGGCAAGUAACAUACCGAUGACAAAGGGAAUUACAUAUGUUGUCAUUACGGUAUGACCGAUAAAGAUCUUCGUAGAAUAUGUAAGAAGCAAUAGGAGAAUCUAGGUUCAGCUGUUGGUUAUUGACCGGAGAGGUGUCUCGGUCAUGUCUACAUAGUUCUUGAACCCAUAGGGUCCGCACGCUUAACAUUCGAUGACGAUUUUGUAUUAUAUGAGUUAUGUGAUUUGGUGACCGAAUGUUGUUCGGAGUCCCAAAUGAGAUCACGGACAUGGCGAGUAGUCUCGAAAUGGUCGAGAGGUAAAUAUUCAUAUAUAAGACGAUAGUAUUUGGACACCGGAAGUGUUCUGGGGGUACCGGGUACGUAUCGGGUCACCGGAAGGGGUUCCGGGCUACCCCCGACAAACUAUAUGGGCCUAUUGGGCCAAGAGGGGAAACACACCAGCCACAAAGGGGUUGGUGCGCCCCCCAUAUGGGCUGGCCAAAAUGGAGAAGGAAAGGGGAAGGAGGAAAGGAAAAAGGGAAUAGGAUUCCCCCUUCCCCCUCUUCCCUUCCUACUCUGAAUAGGAAUAGGAAAGGGGGGGGGCGAAUUGGGAGGUGCCCAAGUAGGAUUCCUCCGACUUGGUGCGCCCCCUUGGCUGCCUCUCCGCCCCUCCAACCUAUAUAUAUGAGGGGGGCACCUCUAGAACACACAACAAACAUUGUUAGUCGUGUGCGGCGCCCCCCUCCACAGUUUACGCCUCCGGUCAUAUUCACGUAGUUCUUAGGCGAAGCCCUGCGCGGAUCACUUCACCGUCACCGUCACCACGCCGUCGUGCUGAUGAAACUCUCCCUCAACACUUUGCUGAAUCAAGAGUUUGAGGGACGUCAUCGAACUGAACAUGUGCAGAACUCGGAGGUGUCGUACGUUCGGUGCUUGAUCGGUCGGAACGAGAAGAAGUUCGACUACAUCAACCGUGUUGUCAAACGCUUCCGCUUUUGGUCUACGAGGGUACGUGGACACACUCCCCCUCUUGUUGCUAUGCAUCUCCUAGAUGGAUCUUGCGUGAGUGUAGGAAAUUUUUAAAAUUGCAUGCUAUGUUUCCCAACAGUGGCAUCCGAGCCAGGUCUAUGCGUAGAUGAUAUGCACGAGUAGAACACAAAGAGUUGUGGGCGAUGAUAGUCAUACUGCUUACCACCAAUGUCUUAUUUUGAUUCAGCGGUAUUGUUGGAUGAAGCGGCCCAGACCAACCUUACAUGACCACGUUCAUGAGACCGGUUCCACCGACAAACAUGCAACUUGUUUUGCAUAAAGGUGGCUGGCGGGUGUCUGUUUCUCCAACUUUAGUUGAAUCGAAUUUGACUACGGCCGGUCCUUGUUGAAGGUUAAAAUAGCAAACUUAACGAAACAUCGUUGUGGUUUUGAUGCGCAGGUAAGAACGGUUCUUACUAGAAGCCCGUAGCAGCCACGUAAAACUUGCAACAACAAAGUAGAGGACGUCUAACUUGUUUUUGCAGGGCAUGUUGUGAUGUGAUAUGGUCAAGACAUGAUGUCAUAUACAUUAUUGUAUGAGAUGAUCAUGUUUUGUAGAAGUUACCGGCAACUGGCAGGAGCCUUAUGGUUGUCACUUUAUUGUAUGAAAUGCAAUCGCCAUGUAAUUGCUUUAGUUUAUCACUAUGUGUUAGCGAUAGUUGUAGAAGCAAUGGUUGGCGAGAUGACAACAACGCUACGAUGGAGAUCAAGGUGUCAAGCCGGUGAUGAUGGAAAUCAUGACGGUGCUUUGGAGAUGGAGAUCAAAGGCACAAGAUGAUGAUGGCCAUAUCAUGUCACAUAUUUUGAUUGCAUAUGAUGUUUAUCUUUUAUGCUUCUUAUUUUUCUUAGUACGGCGGUAGCAUUAUAAGAUAAUUCCUUAACUAAAUUUGAAGGUAUAAGUGUUAUCCCUGAGUAUGCACCGUUGUGAAAGUUCUUCAUGCUGAGACACCACGUGAUGAUCGGGUUUGAUAGGCUCUACGUUCACAUACAACGGGUGCAAGACAGUUUUGCACAUGCGGAAUACUCGGGUUAAACUUGACGGGCCUAGCAUGUACAAACAUGCCUCGGAACACUGGAGACCGAAAGGUCAAAUGUGAAUCAUAUAGUAGAUAUGAUCAACAUAGAGAUGUUCACCAUUGAUGACUACUCCAUCUCACGUGAUGAUCGGACAUGGUUUAGUUGAUUUGGAUCACAUAUCAUUUAGAUGACUUGAGGGAUGUCUAUCUAAGUGGGAGUUCUUAAGUAAUAUGAUUAAUUGAACUUAAUUUAUCAUGAACUUAGUCCUGAUAGUAUUUGCAUAUCUAUGUUGUAGAUCAAUAGCUUGCGAUGUAGCUCCCCGUUUUUUUAUAUGUUCCUAGAGAAAAAUAAGUUGAAAUAUGAUAGUAGCAAUGAUGCGGAUUGGGUCUGUGAUCUGAGGAUUAUCCUCAUUGCUGCACAGAAGAAUUAUGUCCUUGAUGCACCGCUAGGUGACGGACCUAUUGCAGGAGCAGAUGCAGACAUUAUGAACGUUUGUCAAGCUCGGUAUGAUGACUACUUGAUAGUUUAGUGUGCCAUGCUUUACGGCUUAGAACUGGGACUUCAAAAAUGUUUUGAACGCCACAGAGCAUAUAAGAUGUUCCAAGAGCUGAAAUUGGUAUUUCAGACUCAUGCCCGAGUGGAGAGGUAUGAGACCUCUGACAAGUACUUUACCUACAAGAUGGAGGAGAAUAGCUCAACCAGUGACCAUGUGCUCAGAAUGUCUGAGUACUACAAUUGUUUGAAUCAAGUGGGAGUUAAUCUUCCAGAUAAGAUAGUGAUUGACAGAGUUCUCUAGUCAAUAUCACCAAGUUACUGGAACUUCGUGAUGAACUAUAAUAUGCAAGGGAUGACGAAAAUGAUUCCAGAGCUCUUCGCGAUGCUAAAAUCAGCGAAGGUAGAAAUCAAAAAAGAGCAUCAAGUGUUGAUGGUUAACAAGACCAAUAGUUUCAGGAAAAGGGGCAAAGGAAAAGAAAGGGAACUUCAAGAAAGAAUGGCAAGCAAGUUGCCACUCCCGUGAAGAAACCCAAAGCUAGACCUAAGCCUGAAAUUGAGUGCUUCUACUGCAAAGGGAAUGGUCACUGUAGCGGAACUACCCCAAAUACUUGGCGGAUAAGAAGGAUGGCAAAGUGAACAAAGGUAUAUUUGAUAUACAUGUUAUUGAUGUGUACUUUACUAGUAUUUAUAGCAACCCCUCGGUAUUUGAUACUGGUUCAGUUGCUAAGAGUAGUAACUCGAAGCAGGAGUUGCAAAAUAAACAGAGACUAGUUAAGGACGAGGUGACGAUGUGUGUUGGAAGUAAUUCCAAGGUUGAUACGAUCACCAUCGCACACUCCCUCCACCUUCGGGAUUAGAAUUGGAACUAAAUAAAUGUUAUUUGGUGUUUGUGUUGAGCAUUAAUAUGAUUAUAUCAUGUUUAUUACGAUACAGUUAUUCAUUUAAGUUAGAGAAUAAUUGUUGUUCAGUUUAGAUGAAUACAAUCUUCUAUGGUCAUACACCCAAUGUAAAUGGUUUAGUGAAUCUCGAUCGUAGUGAUACACAUAUUCAUAAUAUUGAUGCCAAAAGAUGCAAAGUUGAUAAUGAUAGUGCAACAUAUUUGUGGCACUGCCGUUUAGGUCAUAUUGGUGUAAAGCACAUGAAGAAACUCUAUACGGAUGGAUUUUUGGAAUCACUUGAUUAUGAAUCAUUUGAUACUUGCGAACCAUGUCUCAUAGGGCAAGAUGACUAAAACUCCGUUCUCCGGAACAAUGGAGCGAGCCACUGACUUAUUGGAAAUAAUACAUACCUGUUGGGGAACGCAGUAUUUCAAAAAAAUUACCUACGAUCAUGCAAGAUCUAUCUAUGUGAUGCAUAGCAAUGAGCUGGAGAGUGUGUCCACGCACCCUCGUAGACCGAAAGCGGAAGCGUUAAGUAACGCGGUUGAUGUAGUCGAACGUCUUCACGAUCCAACCGAUCAAGUACCGAACGCACGACACCUCCGCGAUCUGCACACAUUCAACUCGGUGACAUCCCUCAAACUCUUGAUCCAGCUGAGGCCGAGGGAGAGUUUCGUUAGCACGACGGCGUGAAGACGGUGAUAUGAAGUUACCGACGUAGGGCUUCGCCUAAGCACUACAACGAUAUGACCGAGGUGGAAAUUUGUGGAGGGGGGCACUGCACACGGCUAAACAAUCAACUUGUGUGUCUAUAGGGUGCCCCCCUCCCCGGUAUAUAAAGGAGUGGAGGAGGGGGAGGGCCGGCCUCAUGGGGCGCGCCCAAGGGGGGAUUCCUACUCCUAGUAGGAGUAGGUUUCCCCCAUUCCCUAGUUGGAGUAGGAGAAGAAGGAAGAGGGAGAGGGAGAGAAGGAAAGGGGGCCGCCCCCCCACCCCAAUUUGGAUUGGGCUUGGGGGCCACGUGCCUCCCACUUGACCGCUUCCUCCUCUCUUCCACCAUGGCCCAUUAAGGCCCAUUAACUCCCCGGGGGGUUCCGGUAACCCGCCGGUACUACGGAAAAUGCCCGAACUCAUCCGAAACCUUUCCGGUGUCCAAACAUAGCCUUCCAAUAUAUCGAUCUUUAUGUCUCGACCAUUUCGAGACUCGUCGUCAUGUCUGUGAUCACAUCCGGGACUCCGAACAACCUUCGGUACAUCAAAACACAUAAACUCAUAAUACCGAUCGUCAUUGAACGUUAAGCGUGCGGACCCUACGGGUUCGAGAACUAUGUAGACAUGACCAAGACUCAUCUCCGGUCAAUAAUCAACAGUGAAACCUGGAUGCUCAUAUUGGCUCCCACAUAUUCUACGAAGAUCUUUAUCGGUCAAACCGCAUAACAACGUAUGUUGUUCCCUUUGUCAUCUGUAUGUUACUUGCCCGAGAUUCGAUCAUCGGUAUCUUCAUACCUAGUUCAAUCUCGUUACGGGAAAGUCUCUUUACUCAUUCUGUAAUGCAUCAUCCCGCAACUAACUCAUUAGUUACAUUGCUUGCAAGGCUUAUAGUGACGUGCAUUACCGAGAGGGCCCAGAGAUACCUCUCCGACAAUCGAAGUGACAAAUCCUAAUCUCGAUCUAUGCCAACUCAACAAACACCAUCGGAGACACCUAUAGAGCAUCUUUAUAAUCACCGAGUUACGUUGUGACGUUUGAUAGCACACUAAGUGUUCCUCCGGUAUUCGGGAGUUGCAUAAUCUCAUAGUCAUAGGAACAUGUAUAAGUCAAUAGCAACAAACUAAACGAUCAUAGUGCUAAGCUAACGGAUGGGUCAUGUCAAUCAUAUCAUUCUCUAAUGAUGUGACCCCGUUAAUCAAAUGACAACUCAUGUCUAUGGCUAGGAAACUUAACCAUCUUUGAUUAACGAGCUAGUCAAGUAGAGGCAUACUAGUGACACUCUAUUUUGUCUAUGUAUUCACACAUGUACUAAGUUUCCGGUUAAUACAAUUCUAGCAUGAAUAUUAAACAUUUAUCAUGGUAUAAGGAAAUAUAAAUAACAACUUUAUUAUUGCCUCUAGGGCAUAUUUCCUUCAGUCUGCCACUUGCACUAGAGUCAAUAAUCUAGUUCACAUCGCCAUGUGAUUUAACACCAUUAGUUCGCAUUACCAUGUGAUUAGUUCACAUCGCCAUGUGACUAAUACCCAAGUCAAUAAUCUAGUUCACAUCACUAUGUGAUUAACACCCAAAGAGUACUAAGGUGUGAUCAUGUUUUGCUUGUGAGAGAAGCUUAGUUAAUGGGUCUGUCACAUUAGAGCCGUAUGCAAAUUUCUAUGUCUACAAUGCUCUGCACGGAGCUACUCUAGCUAAUUGCUUCCACUUUCAAUAUGCAUCCAGAUUGAGACUUAGAGUCAUCCGGAUCGGUGUCAAAACUUGCAUCGACGUAACCCUUUACGACGAACUUUUUGUCACCUCCAUAACCGAGAAACAUAUCCUUAUUCUACUCACUACAAAAAAGACACUUCCGUGAUGAUACGUGUUUGUCACAGUAGGUCACGUUUUCUGUCAUGCAUGUACAUCCAUGACAAAUUUAUGACAGAAUCAAGAUAGUCAUACCUGUGCUGUCGUAGAAGUGUUCCAUGACAUUACCAAAAUUAUCAUCACAGAAGUGUCCGCUUCCAUGACGAUAAAUCGCGCGUCAUAGAAGUGCUUUCGUCAAGGGUGACCGACACGUGGCAUCCACCUUAACAGGUCGCUGUUAAGCUAUCGGGUCCUGUUUUGGAUCCGAUAACCCGUUAACAGCCCGGACCAAUGGGGAUUUUCCACGUGUAAAAUUCUCAUUGGCUAGAGGAAAAACGUGUUGGCUCACCGUUGGGACAGAUGUCAUCCACUCAUUGGACAGGAGGCGCCUAUGAUACGUCGACACAUGGCACAGCCCAACAUAGGCCCAUUCCGGUGAAAAGGCCGGCCCGUUUGACUUGGUCAAAAGGUAAUGGGCCGGCCCAAGGAAAGCCUGUUAACGGUCUAUUCGUAUAUAGCCCAUUCACGGCCCGCUAACUACCGGCCCGUUACGGCCUAUCGGAAUUAAUCCCAGUAGCUUCAUCUGGGCCAUCCAAUAUAUUCCAGCCCGUUGUAACUUCCGGCCCAUGUAUGGCCCAUGAUGUAUUUCGGCCCAUAUGAGGCCCUUUGUAACUCUCGGCCCAUUAAAGGCCCGAGAUGAAACUGGCCCAUAAUGAACAGUGUAUCGCUUUAUACCCAUUAACGACCCAUUAUUCCAUCGGCCUUUCCAGCCCAUGUUAACUUUCGGCCUUCUAAGGGCCCAUUUAUUCUUGGGCCCAUUUCUAGAAUUCGGUUAGAUACGGUCCGUUACUGGCCUAUUCCGUUUGUGGGCCAAAUACAGCCCGUGGUUACAUUCGGCCCAUUUGUGGCCCGUUAACCCGUUGGGCUGUUUUCAUAGCGUUAUCAAAUACGGCUUAUUAACGGCCCGUUAUGGUCCAUGAAUAGUACAACCCAUGUUUGGCGAAAUGAUUAUACGCCCCGUAGAAGGCCCAUGGAUCCUACGGCCCGUAGAAGGCCCAUAGAUCAUACGGCCUGUAGAAAGUCCAUGGAUCUUACGGCCUGUAAAAGGCCCAUGGAUCCUACAGCCCGUAGAAGGCCCACGGAUCCGACGGCCCGCAGGAGGCCCAUGGUUACAACAGUCUGUGUGUUGCCAUGAUUAUUGUGGCCUAUUUACCAAAAAUAGGUUAUUGUGGCCACUAGAAAAACGCGGAAAAAGAACUGCAUUGACUACAAGCAAACAACUAAACAAGACAAUAAGGAAAUAAAUAAGCAAGCAACUAACGCUAGCCUAUUAUAGCUAUUACACAUAUUACAUCCACUGGGCAUCAAAGUUCGCCACCAGUGCAAAUAUAGGGAACAAAGCAGCAUAUUACAUACACUGGCCGUCAAAAUUGGCCACCAGUGCAAAUAAACGCGGAAGCAAAACAAGUCCAUAACUAAAACAACUUCAAAAGAGCUCAAGAAACGUUAUCCUCGGUAUCCACCAUGUUAGCAAUAAGCUUAGCAAGCUUAUUAGCUUUGUCCAGUUUGGCGCUAAAAUCCUCCAACGCUUGCUGUUGCACCAGAAAGUAUGGAUCUGAAUGCUCCAGGGACUUCCGCAGUCCUUCCGCUUCUUGUCGUAGCACAGCUGAUCGAUGUCUUUCAGCUUGUAGUUGAGACUCAAGAAACCGAACGGAUUCAGACAAUGUGUUUGAAUAGCUUGUGCAAGCGGUAGUGGCCAGUAACUCGAACAGUAAACCAAGACAAGACUUUGGGGUUGCCUCACUGACUUCAAGAUAGUUUUCCUUAGCUGUUUUAUCAGCUUUGUUGGAGAGCAACAAGGAUGUCUCACGAUCAUGAACCUUAUCUGCAUUACUUCCUUUAUCAUUGCUUAAUAAGGCACUCUUCCCCAAUAUCCUGACAGCAUUCUAAAAGAAGAAACAAGCAGACACAUAACAGGUUUAGCAUGUACUAGUAUAUGAAACUCAUUUCCAUGAACCAGUUCAUUAGUAAGGUGGACAAGAUCAAACUACCAAGUCUUCUAUUGCCAAGUAGUACAUUACAAAAGCAUCAAACAAACAUAUAUCUAUGUCCUAUGGUGACUGCAUUGUCUUGCCAAAUCAAAAUAGAGACACGGUUCAAAUCAUAUCAGUUCAAGAGAAAGCAACACUAAAAGAAUACAAAACGUGGGAAACUAAACGGCACAACAAGAUUUCAGAUGGGUACCACGGGUCUACAUGUACAACAACACUAUUGGCCCUGUUAUGAUGCUAGUAAUGUGCAUGAUAUGAGAAGUCAACUGUAUACACAAUUGAAAUUGAAAUCAACAGAGCUAUUUAUAAGAGCAAACCUGUUAAGGAAACAUGCGUAAACAUACUUGUUGUGCCAUUGGAGUUUCCAUUGGAUAGUUCAAUUUAAAAAUAAGUUUGUAUGAGUAAAUACAGUGAUACAAGAGCAAAGCAGUAUGCACAAUAGCAAUGGAAUCUUAAAUGAGAACAGUUGUUCUUCAGGUUUAAACACUUGUUCUACAUGAACAGAGUACAAUAAGACGCAAGCAUAUAUUACUUAAAAUAAAAUGAGUUCAUAGACCUUACCACAUUCUUGGUUCGGGACCAGUAAAGAACAAGGCGUUCCCAGUCAUCGUCCAGUAAAUGUGUCUCAGGAGAACGUAAGGGAAUUUGAUGAGUUUCUUUGCCAGUGAAGUACGUUUUCUUCAGGUAAUUCCGAUAUUGCCACCAAGCAUUCUAGAAGAUAGCAGAGGUAUUAGCACAGGUUACCUCAUCCUGAGUUUCCAAAUCGGUCCUUCUCUAUAGAGAAAAAUGGGAAAAUUUGCUAUAUUAUAACCAUCAUGCAGGUAGAAUGUAUGGGACAAAGCAAAGUAAUUGCCAUGAAUAACAUUACUUACACAUAACUCCUAGACAAACACCUGCAACUGGCAUUUUCCUUCAUUUUCAGUAUAAUAUUUCCAUGAUGGGAAGAUACACACAUAAGAUUUAACAACAUCAAAUGCGAUAGAUGCUAAACUAUGAAUGGCUGGUUGUGCUUACUCCACAUGAAUAGGUGUACUAACUGGUGGAGUUGGGGUUCGUUGUGGUAGUACUGGCGCUUUGGGGACUAGAGCUGCCUUACUAACUGCUCUUGUUUGGGAGCUCUGUGGUGGAGAUGGUGCUGUGUCAACAGGAACUGGGUUACUAUCUGCUGGGGUUGGGGUUAGAUUGGUUGAAGCUGGUUCUCUGUCCAUCGCAGUAGGGGUAAAAUCUGCGGGAGUCUGGGUUAUGUGUGGUAGGGCUGGUUCUCGUGCAUGUACAACCAGGGUGCUAUCUCCGCCAAGAGGUAGCACUAUUUUAUUUGAAGACCGUGUUUUUACUCCACCAGAUACUGCCAUCACCCGCUCCAAUUCAAAUGGCUGAUAAACAUGAAACGUAGUUGAAUGUACAGACAUUGUAUGAGAGAAAGAUGCAAUAGAUAGUGUGGGAAAAAGAGGGCAUUAAAUAAUUGACAUGUAUAUUGUUUAACUAAAACGGAUAACAUGACAUAAUUUCACAUAUAUGAUGUCUAUCUAAACUGGAUAACAUAGCAUAACAUAAAUCAAAGAUAUGAUGACUAACUAAACAUGAUCACAUGACAUAAUUCACAUACAUGUUAUUUAAGUAACCAGGAUCUCAUGAUUUAAUUCACAUAUGUGAUUUAUAUGCUAAGCGGAGGGCAUUCGCAUAUAUGAUGUCUGAACUAAGAACAUGGUGUUGAAUAUUGUGUAUAUGAUGUCUAAACUAUGCAAUGCAAGACACCAUAUGCAUGAUAUGAGCACUAGAACCGUGCCAAGUUAAAGCAUACACCUCGAUGGGGGAAUAGGACCGGUCAUCUGUCUCUGAAUCCAUCUCUGAGGAGCUAUCGGGACCCAGCAAGAGAUCUGCUUCAAUAGGUAGCAUUGUCUGCUUUGAAGGCCUUGUUUUCACUCCAGAUUUUUCCAUCACCCACUUAAAUGGCUGAUUCACAGGAAGACUAGUUUAAUGUACAAACAUUGUCGACAAAUGGGAAUUUAACAAAGAAAAGGAUGGGCUAGAUAUCAUUCAAAUAUAUGAUGCCUGGUUAAACAGGAUGGCAUUGCACAUUUCACAUAUAUUAUGGCUGGCUAAAAGACAUGAGAGCAUAAUUCCCAUAUAUGAUAUUGAAACUAAAAGGGUGGCAUUACAGAACAUGUCUAAACUAAGCAGAUGACAUAUAUGAUGUCGAAAGUAGGCACUGCAAGGCAACAUAUGCAUGAUAUGACUAACAUCAUCAUGCCAAGUUAGAGCAAACACCUUAGUGGGUAAAUAGGAGUGGUCAGCUGCAUCUGAAUCCGCCUCAGAACAGAUAUCUUCCUCUGGAUUACAAUCUGGAGAGGGGGGGAGGGUUUGCCAUUGAACCCACCAUGGAGCGAUGUCUGCAUGACAUUGUAUUUCCGCGCAAAACUCUUCUCUUUUUCUCUACAUGUUCAGCAUGACUGUGUACAAUAUCUGACAUGCAUACAAAAAAAUAGUGAGAUUAUGUAAGGAGAGCAUGCAGAAAUCUAGAGAAUGGUAACAACCAGUGGAUGGAUCCAAAAAUAAUGAUAGCAGGCUGAUGAUUACUUUAAUUUAAUAAAACACAGAUGAUGAUUGCUUUACAAUUUGUUUCCCACCCAAGAUGAACAACAUAGGCAUACCCUAGGUGAACCAGAUAUUAGACAGAGAUACUAUUCAUUGCUGCCUCGAUAUGUGCCCCACAACUAAUUUAGAACUCAAGUUUGAACAUCAAUUUGGACCUGACUUGGAGUCUAAGAGGUGAACAGGACAAUAAAGUAGCAGGUAAUAUUAAGCAAUGCAUAACAUAAGUGGAAACAAAAGAGUGCGGCCUCUCUUGUGGACCAGCGUACUCCUCAGGUUCAUCUGCUGAGUCGAUGAUGCUGAUGCCGUUGCGGUGGGUGCCGGCGGCAGGGAAAGAGAUCUGAGGCGGCGAAAGACGGCCAGGAGUCGUGAUGUCUGGUUUGGUGGAUGCUUCUGUCGAUGGAGCAGCUCAGGUGAGGCGGACGAUGUCGCGGCAGGAGCAGGACAAACCACACAAAGUUUUCUUCGACGCCUACCUGUAACUGAAGUAAUUCUAUAAGGGCUCAUUUGGCUUGCAUUUUUCUAAAAACGCAGGGAUAUGAGGAAAAUCACCGGAAUAGGAUAGGAAUGCACAUGGGAAACAGAGCAUUUGUGAAGACAUGAUUUCUAUCAACUUGGGUGUUUGGUUCACAGGAAUUGGAGGAGCAGAGGAAUGCAAAGAAACAUGGCCAAAAUAAAGGGAAACCAUAUGAAAGCGUGUACAGUUAGAAUGUUAUUCUGCCACUAAUGCACUUGGUCUUGUUUUCAUGCAUAGGAUUUUGAAAAGUAGGUCCAGGUGGAUGUUUUGCUCCAUUCCUUUCAACAAAAUGCAUGAAUAAUUGAAUAGUAGAGUGCCAUAGGAAAAUUUCCUAUUGCUAUGUUUUUCCGUUGAACCACAAUAGCCCUAAUGGAUCGACAUGAAUGUAGAGUAAUAAGUGAUGCGACAAGUGUACAACCUCUUUGCCGUAGCCGUGUCGACCUCAACAUCAUUGGGUUGGUUGCUGAAGAAGUUGAGGCAGAGGUGUCUGUCGGAGGUGUGGAGGAAGAUCUGAGGAAUCUGUAGACGGCGUCCAGGGCACUGCUCUGUUGUGAUGGAUCGUUCCGUCAUUGGAGCAGCUCCGGUGAGCCGUAAGACAUCAAGGCUGAAGCAGCACAAGACAGACAUCGUUAAUCUCAAGUGGGAUUCUAAUAGCAUCUCCAAUAGAUGAUGUAAAAUGCAUUACCAAAAAGUGAUAGAUGUAAAAUUUACAUCACCAAAAACCACCUGACUACAACAGAUGAGGUAAAAACUGUUGACUCUGAACUUAACUGUCGAAACUGAAAUUUAUUGUGGAAUCUAAAUGUUAUUGUCGAAACUGAACGCAAUGGUAGCAGAGAGGCACUUCACAUGGGAUAGUUUAGGGAGGGCCUGCAGUUCAUCUUCAACCUGCACCCCCUGAGCCGCCAGCCACCACCGACCGAACCCCGCGCUGCCUCGCCGCCCCGAAACAACUCCCCACCGCCGGUCCGCCGCCGCCCUGAAACAACUCCCCACCGCCGGUCAGCCGCCGCCUCGCCACCCCGAAACAGCUCCCCACCGCCGGUCCACCGCCGCCCCAGCCAGCCCUCUAGCCGCCCAUCCCCCCUCGCGCCAAGCUUUUUCUCCGGCGAUCCCCACGCCACCGCCCCACCACCGCGCCCCCACCACCAGCGAGCAGCACCCCACCCAGAACCCUAAGAUAGAUAGUGGGGUACCUCUCCGGCGAGCCCCCCUUCCCGCUACGGGUGGUUCUUCCUUAACUCCGGCGAGACCCCCCACCCCCUGAAAAUCGACUGACCCAAAAGUUGAUUUAGUCGACUGAAGUGUAGCUAGAUCGGAGCAGAGCAGCAGCACGAGCAAGGGGGAGAGCAGCAGCAGCAACGCGAGCGAGAGCCGGAGCAGCAACAGCUGGGCGAGCGAGCGAGCGAGAGCCGGAGCAACAGCAGCAGUGCGAGCGACCGAGUGACGGCCGGAGCAGCAGCAGCAGAUCCGGCUGGUAUGGACGCCGCCACCGAAGGGGCCUCGCACUGGGGAGAGCCGCCGUGGAGAUGUCGCCCGCGGUGCCGGCUUCGAGGUAGCCGCUCCAUGGGGGUGUGGGAUGGAGCACCGUCGGCGCCGGGAGGUCAAGUUAAGGAUAAGGUGCGAUGCGAUGAGUGUACAACCUCUUUGGUGGCGCCGAGUAGGCCUCACACUGGGGAGAGCCGCCAUGGAGAUGUCGCCCGCGGCGCCGGCUUCGAGGUAGCCGCUCCAUGGGGGUGUGGGAUGGAGCACCGUCGGCGCCGGGAGGUCAAGUUAAGGAUAAGGUGCGAUGCGAUGAGUGUACAACCUCUUUGGUGGCGCCGAGUAGGCCUCGGCUUCGUCCGAGGAGUCGGUGAGGAUGCUGCGGUUCUGGUGCAGUAGGUUAAGGCGGCGCUGUGGGGAUGGAGCAGCCGUGAUAGAUGAGGCGAUCGUCGAAGCAGCUCCUUGGAGGUGGAGGACGGGGCGGCUGAACCGGCGGGACGACGGGAUGGACGACGGAUCCUCAUCCGGGGAGGCGAAUGAGAGACGUCGACCUGUUGCGAUGGACGACGUCAUUGGGGAAGAGGCUCCGGCUGGGCAGCGGUGAGGUGGCGGACGGAGGAGGGUGGGGUUUCGUGGCUGGAGCGGAGAGGUUUUGGCGGCCUGGGAUUUCGAAUGGCGAAAAGGAGGCGAUGGGAGGGGGAACCAUGACUUAGGGAUGCGCUUGUCCAAAAUGUAGGGUGUGUUACAAAAGUACCCCCACCGAUUUGAACUAGCAGCCCUUUCGGCUCAGGGUUAGAAGGGGUAUUUUGCGUGUCGGGAUUUGGCAGCGGGAGGGAGUUUUCACGCGCGAUGUAAUUUCGGGAUAGCAAGGCGCGGGUUGUGAAGGCGCCAGUUUUGCGAGCACGAUAUCUGAAUUUUCGGGAUAUAACAAGGCGCGGGUUGAAUUUUAGGGACAAGCCUAACGUGUAAUAUUGUACUUGGACGUACCAAAUCAAUUCGCACUUCCCUCAAAGAAAAAAAGAAAAAAAUAAAAACUAUUCACACCACACAAAGAGAGAGUCUUGUCCCGUUUUUACUAUACAAAUGCUAUUCAAAGCUAUUCAAAAACUAUUCACACCACACAAAGAGAGAGUAUGAAUCCAUGUUAUGUCCAAUUAAAUUUUUCGCUGGCUGUAUAAUGCAUGUAACCUACUCAUACCAACAUUUUAGUGCAUUCCAAAUGUUUAUACUACCGCUGCAAUUUGAACUGAAUUUGAAUUUGUUUCUCUAUUUCAAUAAGAAUCUACAAUCAUGAUUGUUGCCAACUUCAACCAUCAUUCGUGUAUUACAUUAACAACACACCACAUGAUUACUAUAGAGAUAGAUAUGAAAUGUGUGUACUAUAUGAACUCGAAUUCAAUUUUUUUGAAUACACUUUAUGUUAAUUCCAAAUAAUAGUACAUUUGAUGUACUAACUAUAUAUUCAUAAUCUAAACCAUGUUCCAUACGUACACCAUGUUUAUCACACAAGGUAUAGUGCCCCGCCCCCUACAUUAUGACAAGUAUUUAGCCCUGAGCUGCAAAAGCCACACAUUAGCCCAAAUUAUAAUCAAUGUUCUAUAUAUUAUAUGUAGUACUAGCAAGAUGCCCAUGCGUUCCACGGAACAUCAACAUGAUCAAGGGAUGCCUUAUUUGCAAAUAUGGAGAGGGGUGUGGGUAUCUUUUUUCAAAAUUGCCAUAGUUUCCUUCCUAUCCGCCAGAUAUAAAUCGGACGGCCUAUAUUGCAGGAUGGCAGGCACACCAUCAUCAACAACUCUGUUUUUCAUAACCACACCAUGUGUAUCACCGUUAUAUAUAUUCACGCAUGCGUCGGUUUAAAACACUAUGAUAAAUUCUUCAAAUAUCCGAAUUCGCUUUUUAUAAUGAAUCAUGAUCUCUAUUCGUCUUUUACACCCACACAAUCCUCUUAUCUUUGUAGCUAGCGCUAACUUUCUCUCGUGCAUGCACACGCCCGCAUCCCUCUCACCCUCCCUCAGCAUUCUCUAGCUCCAUCGCGCAAAUUCGUCUUUUCACUUUAGGUCGUUCACCCAUGGUGUGUGUUGGCCCCCCAUCUCCUUCUUUACGGCACACAUCGAUCGAUGUGCCUCUCUAGCCAGGUGUGCCUACCACAAACACAAGCUUCCCCUCUUCUCUUCUCACUGUCCAUGACUCACUCACACCACUCUUUUCAUCGUUCUCGUACUCGCACACUCCUUCCCCCUUGAUAUAGUAUGCCUCUCACACCACCUCCUAGAUGCAUCCCUCUCUCUCUAUCCUUCGCCCCGGGCCUUAUUUGCUUCUAACACAUACAUGCAUGUAUACCGAUCGAUCUCCCUACAUAUACCUAGGUCGACUUUAACUGUUUUCCCCCCACCCAUCGAUUGACGUACCUCACAAAUUAUGUCUCUCCUUUCUCUGACAAAGGACGAUUGAUCUUCCUAUGUAGUUAUGUCUGCUUACCACAGUCAUAUCGUCCCCCCUCAUCAUUCAUGCAUGCCUCUUGACCCAUCUCUCGCACGCACGUGCACAGAUAGGGCAGCCAUCCCCUCUCUUAUUGAUAUUGCAGGCGUGCCCUCCGUUUGUCUAGCAAGCCUCUCCCAGACUCCCACCAUUUGUUAGAAGCAACUCCACUACCACCCCCUCCAAGACUCUAGCUCUGUCUCUCUCCCAACCUUAUUCCUCUCCUACACAUAUGCACGGAUGCUGAUCGAUCUCCCUUAAUACAUAAGGUAGGCCUCUCUCCUCCUCCACACAUAUACCAGCCAUUGUACCUCUAUAAUUAAUUAGGCCUCCCCCCACCACACACCGAUAGUCGAGCGCUGUAGGUAGGUAUCCAUGCCACAGAGACAAACUGCACCUGUCCCCUCUCACGUUCUAGUAGGCCAGCCACUCUAUAUCUUUGACGUGGGCACACACAAAUUUGAUGGCACUCUUUAUCGAUCGCGCGCGCACACACACACAUCAUCCCUCUCUUCGAUUCUAUGGAUACCUCAAGCCGAUGAUACCUCCACUCUCUUCUCGUGGAUCGCCCCUCUAUAUAUAUGAUAUAUCCAUGACUCUAUUUCACACACAUUGCAUAUGUUACAUUUUUUGAUUGACCCUCCCCCCCCCCAAAAAACACUCAUGAACCCACACACUCUAUCUCUCUACAUUUGUGUCUCUCUCACACAACCCCACGUAGGUGGUGUACGUACACGAAGAGAAUAGGUGCACGUACUCACGCUUCGUGCCCAGCCACACCCGCGCGGGUACACAGUGGAGCUCAUUUCUGUACGAAAAUGGCAGCCCACGUGCUAAUUUGAAUGCGUGUAGCGGUUGUUUACCUACGGAGGUCGUGUACCACGCGCGCAUGAAACAAAGUUCGGCUUGAUGCGUUGGCGCGUUAUUUUUAAAUAAAGUUAAAUCGCUCAAUGGCACGUACACAGAAUAUAAAACAAUUUUUAUGGAGAAAAAGGUAGUCCGCUCCACUAUAUACAAUGGAGCCUGCCUGCCUGGGCUUGUCUCUCUUCAGAGUAUCUCACACAAGGUGGCGGUGGCCUCUCUCUCUCCCACCGUUGGUCACUGAUCCGGCCGCAUCCCGUCCGCCGGCGGAAAGGGAGGAUGUGCAUCGUUUCUCCGUUCGACGGCGCCGAGGCAGCACGUCCCGAUCUGCGGUAUCCGCCAUUCUCUCUGACCAAGCUCCGGCGCGGUAGGGCCUAUGCCACCUGCUCGCUGCCGCAAUAUGGGCAGACCUCGCCCGUCGCUGCUCACCUAGUUACAUCCCGACGACCCCCAAGUAUCCCCUCCGGCCUUGCUCCACUGCCCGUCUUCCCACGUCGCUGCAUGUGGAUAAUCUUGCAUGUGGAUCUUCCAUAGUUCUUUGCCCAAAACGUAGCUCGUCCGGCGUACUUUCCAUAUUGCAAUCUCGUCCUCACACCGUUUUAGACAAACACAACCAUGUUGUUAUCUUCCCUUAGGACAAGGAAUAUGCUUCUUUUUUGUCGUCGUAUGUGUCAUCAACUGUUAUUGGCCAGUAAUUGUUUCCUUUCUACCUCUUUUUUGCAAACAGGGCUAUCCAUUUCACCUCGUUGCUAUUGCGACCUUUUGGUGAACUGCACAAAUCACUUUUUUCUUAAGAGUGUUUUGUGCAGUUGUACUAAAAUGUCACACGGGCAACGUCUCUACAUUUCAGUGUGACUGCACAAAGGGAGAUUGGUUUUGCUCUAUCCUCCUCAUCCAACUCCGAGCCUAAUCUUCUCCAACUAUUUGCUUAAUCUUCUCCAACUAGUUAGUCUUAA
rnacentral:lncRNA from 1 species